rnacentral:lncRNA from 1 species
UGCAAAUUAUAAUCCAGCAUUUGACCAACUUGACCACUGCAUAUUACUUUUAUGACGACUUUGCCCUUCUCUUCUCAGCAAUAAAGAAACAAGCCAGGGACAAAACCGAGAAAGCACUGAAGGCAACCGACGUAAUGUCAAGCGACAGGUGGCGCCCGGUGAUUCCCUCGACCACAAACAAGUUGGCGGUCUUCUUAGCGUCGGUAGUCUGACCGUACGCCACCUGCUGACCGGCGGCGUCGAAAGCGUAGGCGCGUACGAAGUAGGUGGCGCCCGGCACGUCGCGCUCGAUGAUCCAGUCGAAGCUGUCGUUGGACUUGCUGCUGGUGUACGGCCUUUCGACGAUCUUGACCAGGCAUGUCUUGUCCUUGGCGAGGUUGUCGACGGUCUUCCUCCACCCGCGGUCGACUUGGCUCACUUGCGCGAAGCAUAAGUUGACCUUGAUGGUCUUGAAGGUUGAGUCGGUGCCGGCUUCGUAGCUCUGGUUUAGACCCCAUGAAACGGUGAGCUUGUCUAUCCCGGCUUUCAGAACUGCAAAAAAAUUAUCAUGGAUUAAGAAUCUAAUUUUAGAUUACCUUGUUAAUUAAAAAAAAAAUUAAAGAAAACCCAGUUGGGAAGUUAGGGUUUUGGAGUCGAAAGUUAGAGACUUUUUGUGUAUGUGUUUAUGUGAGUUUUGGGAAGUGUAAAAUUUAUUAAGUGAAUUGGAAAAAUGAAGAUUUUGGACUAGAAAAUGGAAAAAUUUGCAAAAUUUGAAAAAGAGUAAUGUUAGGGAACAAAAUUUUCAAAUUAAAUGAUGUAUCAUUAGUAAGAAUAAGCAUGUUUAUUAAUGUUUAAGUAAUAAAUCAAUCAUCAACUUCCAUAAUCGUUAGUUUCCAAAACUUUAAUUACAAAUUUAAUGUCAUUAACAUUAUCCCUACUAAGAAUUAGAAAGUUAAGAAAUUUUCGGUAAUAAUUUUGACGCUUCCGUUUUCUUUAUACCGGUGGAUGGAAAAAAGUGCAAGAAAUGAGUGUGAAUAGAAAAAAAAUAGUGCAGAAAUCAAUUUUCUUUCGUAUUUCUGUUAUAUUUAAAAAAAUAUAUAUAUAAAUUAUAAAAAAAAAUCAUAAUUUACAAUGAAAAGAUUAAAAAACCCAAUUGAAAAAGAAAAAAGGGUUUUGACAAAAAGUUAAUAUAGAAAACCUUGUUGCAAAAUAAAGAGUUUGGACUAGAAAGUUGGAGAAGUAAUUUUCACACCAGCGUUUUCAUCUUUUGCACUCCUUCUAUUUUGUAUUUUGAUUGAACAAAUCGAAGACAAGAGAAGGACGAAGUGCAGAAGAAAGAAAGGAGUGCGGAAAUCAUAUCCCUAUCGAAUUUUGUUUACCUUCCCUAAUUCGGAAACUGUAAAAUUCGUGCUUACCAAGAAAAUAUAAAGAAACCCAAUUGAGGAAGCAAGAUAUUGAACUAGAAAGUUGGAAAAAGUUUUAAAUUAAAUGUCUGUGUUUACCCUGGUUCUCUGUGUGUGAAGCAGUAACAAGGAGACUAUCCUUGAGAGAAGAAAAGAGGACAAUCCCAUAGGAGGUUUGGGAAAAGCAAGAGAGCACAAGAAGUGAAGCCAACAAAAUCCCAUGCGAUGCCAUCUCGGAACUUUUACUUGCAAAUCCCCAAAAGAUUGAAACUUUAGCGAGAGAAAAACUUUAGAAUCUGAUUCUGGAGGGGAUGCUAUGAACUGGCACUUGCGUCCCCUUAUAUAUAAGUCCCAAAAUUCAAAUUUGGGUUUUUGCAGAAGAGGUCAAAAGGGCCAAAUUAGGGAUUCAAAACAUGCAGAUAAUUUAGGGAAAAAUAGUUUAAUAUUUGAUGGGAGUGUUUAAGUGGCCCUAAAGUGCACCGAAAGGGUGGGGUUAUGAGUUUUCUUGUAUAUUUGUUUUUUACUUCUGAAAAAAAAAAUAUUAUCUAUAUUAAGAGGAUAGAAGAGUGUUUAUAAUAAGCUAUUAACAAUAUGGUUUAAAUUCGUUUUUUACAAUGAUCGAAUUUAAGAACUCUUAGGUACAAGUGAAAAAGAAUAUCAUUAGAUCGUAGUAAUAAGAACCAAUAUUUUGGUGUUAGAAGUAUUAAAAAUUCAAGGUUUCUGUGCCGGAUGUGUAUGGUUUUUCUUUAUGAGUAAUGUUAGAGAGAUCAAAUUUUUUAAAUCAAGUUGCAAACUAAAUGAUGUGUCACCAAUAAGAAAUAAAUACGUUAAUCGACAUUUAAUUAAUAAUUCAAACAUCUAUAACCACAUUAUUUAGUUUGUAAAUUUAGUUUAAAAAUUUUGAUCUUUCUAGUUUUACUCUUUGUUUAUUAGUUGACUUUAUGAGGUUGAAUUUUUUAAUGUGUUCCUAGUUGUGUGGGUGUUGGGCGGGGUGGGGGAAGAGGUGAGAAGAAAAGACAUGCAAUACAUGGUGGCCCAAUGUGUUCAUUCAUUUUUUUUUUGUCCUUUAUGUCUUGUAAAGGGCAAACAACACGAGUCACCAAGUAAGUGGGAGACAAGAGUUGAGAUUCAUAAAUAAAAAAUGCUCCUCAUCCGAUAUUUUGUUUUUGGACAACUCCUCUUACGAUAUAUUUGUAUCAUCUUUUAUACUAUGUUUUAAAUAAAGAUGAGUCUUAUAUAUAUUGAUAGAUCUUAUCUUUAUUAGAGAGAUAAUACGAAUAACUGCAUAAAUGUGUGGUAAAUGUAACAUUACUAUUAAGAAAUGAUAAAUCCACAUUUUUCUACUUAAUUUUGUUACUUUUGGUUGAUAUAUGCAAUUAAAUUUAAGAAAUAAAUAGAAUUAUGUUGAGAAUGAAUCUCAUAUUUAUAAGAGUUGAGACUUUGCACGUGCUUAUAAGUAGGUGAGCUAUUCUCUACAUAGGCAAUUGGUUUUAUGGUGAGACUUCAAUUUCUUCAUAGUAUAAGAGUAAGUUGUCCCAUGUGUGAAGCCCAAUGGCCCCACGUGCUCCACAUCAUCCAAGUUAUGUUGUGCAAGUGUUAGGUUUAAAAAUUCGCCACACGUGAUAAGACGUGUUAAGAAUGAAUCUCACAUUAAUGAGAGGAAAGACCUUUCAUGUGCUUAUAAAUCAUUAAGCUACUCAACAUACUCUCCUUAUUACCAAUUAAUUGUAUACACGUGUGAAGCUCAAUGACCCUACGUGCUUCACGUCACCCGAGUUGUGUUGUGCAAGUGUUAGGUUUGAAAAUUCGUCACAUGUAAUGAGCCGUGUUAAGAAUGAAUACAACAUUGAUGAAAGGAAAGACUUUUCAUGUGCUUAUAAGUCGUUAAGCUACUCAACCUACUUCCUCUAUUACUAAUUGAUUUUAUAAUGAAACCUCAAUUUUCUUACUGUUUUCCCAAUAAAAAAUUGUUAUGGUUUGCACGGUGAUCUCAUAAACUCCAUUCAUAUAAAUACUAAUUUUAAAAUUUUCUGAUUCAUGAUUGCUAAAUUGAAAUUUUAUAGUGCGCAUACACGUUUAAGUGGCAGAAAGCCUCCAAUUUCAUAUUCAAACCAACUCUUUUGCUCUCAAAAUUGUGCAACCAAGAGACUCAGAAGAUGUUAUGCACAAAUUAUUGAAAAAAUUAGACAACUGUGUACUUUUCUCAAUCCAAUGUCAACGAAAAUGCUUCAUGAUUUCCCAAAGUAAUUUAAGAGAUUAUAUCCAUGAUCAAACUUCAGUACAGCUUAUGCAAGCAUAAGAGAAGAUUAACAUUUUUUUUUCUUUAAUUAGAUUCUAAAAUCAAUGAGAAGGAUUAGAAUAAUGAAGAUUAUUUUUAAUAAUUGUAAUUAAUUUGGGUCAUUUUUAGGUGAAUUAAAGAAUGACCCUUCAGCAUACUCAAAAAAAGAAAAGAAAAAAAAAAGAAUGACCCUUCAUAGAGUUGACGGGGCUAGUCACUCGUGAUUAAUUGUUAUCUUCAUUUAUGAAAAAAGUGAAAUAAACACUAUAAAAUGAUAUUUAUAGACAAACUAUUUUAUUCAUAACAGAGACGUGAAAGUUGAAAACAAGGCUUAACUAAACACAAUAAUGAAAACAAAAAUAUGUUGUUAUUUCAGAAAACAAAAAUAAUAUAUGAUUCAUAUAAGAAUUGCCACAAAAAUGGAGCAGGUGUUUCUUGAAGCCAGCCCCAAUCAAGCAGGUGUUUGCGUUAAGUAGUGCAAGUUUGGACGUGUUUUGAUGGUUUUGUCACAAACUCAGUGGCUUGAAGUAUUCCGGAUUUAGCAUGUGGAAUAUGUACGGUCAAAUCGUAGCUGCAGGAGCGGUUUCUAUAGGAUAAUAUUCAGUUCUGUAAGCCGAACUUGCAGGCCUUAAACAUGGUUUUCUUUGGCCAUCAAGUUGGGUCUUGAUCGUGUUCUGGCGGAAGAAGGUGGAAGGAUGUUUGUGGUGAUGUUAUUAUCAACAUAAUUAACGGGGAAGUACAAUUUCCUUAAGGUGCGUUUGUUGCACUGGACUAUUUUAGACUAGACUAACUUGAGAGAGCUGGACUGACUUAGAAUAGACUAAGCUGGACUAGCUUAGUGAAACAUUUGGUGCACUGUAGGACUAAAAAGCAGGAUAAAUAAUAUUAUAUUAUUUAAUUAAUAAAUAUUAAUAUUUUAUUAUUAUCCUUUUUUCCCUCUUUUCCUUCCUUCACCAUCACUCUCUCCCUCUUUCUCUCCCUCUUUUUCUCCCUUCUUUGUCCCACCCUUCCUUCUCCCAUAUUAGACAUCUCAAUUCCAGUCUCUAUCUCUCCCUUUGUUCUGUCCAACUCCCUCUCGAUUCCAAUCUCUCUCUCCUUUCUCCCUCGCUCUAGCUCUAUGUUAUUCGACGAAACCUCACAUCUCCAUUUUUUCUGACGAGUUGCAGGUUUUCCAUCGUGUUUUCCGACCAAAACCUCGUCGAAUUGGAUGAGGUUAGUCUCCUUGCUCCUUGAGUCCAUGGAUGUGGAUGGAAGAACUUUGCUUCUUGGCUACAUGACUUCUUGGAUGGAUGAAGGAAUGGAUUCUCCAAGUUCCCAAAAUAGGGAACCUCUAAGUCUCCACACCAAGGAGGGCAUUGAGGAAGAGAUGAGUGACCUAGAGGAAGAAAAAUUGCUAGCUAUUUUCCUCUAGGGUGGCCGGCCUCCUAAGAGAAGAGAGAGCUUUGUGUUCUUAUAUUUUCUCUCUAGAAAAUCCUAAUGAACUUUUGGCUAUCAAGUCCUCUAUAUAGUCACUUCACUUAAGUGACAAAAAGAACCAAAACCCAUUCAUUUACAAUGGCUGACCUUCUGAAGGCUUUGGGCUGUUUAGGCCCUUUUGAGUCUUUAGUAAUUAAGUUGUCAUACAACUUAAGUUAAUGGGCUUGACGGUUCUUAGCCCAAUGGGCCUUGAGGUCAAAUAAUUACUCAAAAGCUAAAACGAACUUAUUCGUUUGAUUAAUUAAUCCUAAUCAUAAAUAAUUAAACCAUUUAAUUAUCCUUACUUAUCUCCGUUGUUUCUUCAAUCUUUAUCUUACAUGGUGUAUGAUCCAUUAUGUUCCUUUUAGCGAGGUAAUGGGCGAUUAGAACUCUUCAAAUUGAUUUUGAAUUGGAACAUACUUUCAAUUCUCCCUUUAGUGAUUAUACACAUUUAGGGCUUCCACAAACCAUGAGUGACACCUAGCAGUAUAUCAUGGUUACCCAAGCUAAUCAGAAGAGGUGGAGAACCUAUUCAAUUUAGGAUUACAAUGCAAUACGGUUUUUCUCUAAUACAAUACUCUUAACCACAUUGUUUGGUUUGAUAGUUUAUUCAUGUAUAGUAUCCAAUGUGAUUCUUUUACUUAUACAAUUACCUUGAAUAUGAUUUGGAAUGACUUCCUAAAUCUCAUUCAUACUCUGGCUAGAGAUUCUUAAUCAUAUCAUGAAGUAUUCUCCCUCAAACGGUUUGAAAGUUAAAGAUCCCUUGUUGUGCAUUCACUUGCCUGCAUGACUAAGUGGCUUAACCCCAACUAUACCGUGGACACCAUUUGACGGAGUGACUUUGACAUAGUCAAAGAUCAAGGACCUAACCACAAGACAACUAUGAUGCCUCAGGUCAAAUGACUACUUUGCAUUAUCCCAACCAUGAGUUUUCAUGUGACAUGAGUAUGAGAACUCCUUGUUGAUCGCGUUCAGUGGACUCAUUCUUUAUUGAGCACCUACAUGCUUGUCUUGGUGUUAGUCACAACAAUGACUCUAGACUAGUCACUCUUUCUAAAAGAAGACAUUGCACGUACUGAUCUUAACAGAUUAUUAAUGCCCAAUUGGCAAUCCUAUGAUCAGGAAUGUUUAGGAUAUGCAUACGAAAGAGAAUGGUCUCAUGAAUCUAACUUAUUUAGAUCACAUUCUCCUAAUUACAUAUUCCAUGGACUUAUCGUUUAAGCAUAUGACAUAUAUAUGAGCCGGCUUUAAACAAUAAUUUUUGCCCUUUAAAUUAAACUAGAUUAGUUUAACAUGUGAAAUGUCCGUAAAGUAACAUCAUAUGAUUGGCUUUAGAGCACAUUUCCAAUAGGUCUUAGCUAGUCUCAUGGUUAUCGAGGGUACUCGCUAAGACCGGAUAGUCCUGCCUUUAGUCGAGGCAAGUGAGAGCUAAUAUCACUAAAGCUAAUCCUUGCUGGGAACAAACAUGGGACUGGACUAACCUUUAAUUUUGUCCAGUCUAGUGAACUUUAACGAAGGCAAACAAACGCCCCCUUAAAGAAUUAGGUCAACCAUUUAAUAUAUCAUUAUCGCAAGACCAAGUUUUCACAACUAUCAUUCACGCAUAUAUUCUAAGAAGUCAAUGUAAAAGCUAAUGUUGUGGUUGAAAUAAGAUAACAAUGUCAUGUAAGCAAAAGUUGACCGACAAAAUGCUUUAUCAAAAGGCAAAUAUUAAUGGGAACUGUUAUAAGCACUCUAAAAAUCUCAUUCUACACUCCUCAUAACUGUAUUUUUCUUUCUAAUUAUAGAAAGUUUGGAGUGCCAAAUGAGAUUUUUGAAGUGCUAAUAACAAUUCUUGACACACCCCGUCCUGAAGGAGGGCGUGCUGGCCGUCACGUGAGUGUGACGUAACCAUUUACACAGUUCGGAAGCUUUAAAAAAAUACAAUUACUAUGAUGAAACACCCGAGGGUGAGUCCUACUUUUGUAACUUCUGUCAGAACACCGCUGGAUUCCUCGUAGCCACCAAAGCUCUGCAACUAGAACCUGGAGGGGUGCAAAACAAAAUUGAGUGGGUCAGUACAACAAGGUUUUUCGAAAACAUUUCAUUUAAAAUAUUUCUAACCCCUCGCUGUAAAACCUGUAUACUUUCCCAGAAAAUAACAUAAUAAUAUAUAAACAUAUAUAUAUCAUCAAAAGCUCAAAUUACAAUCCUUCAACGCUUUCCAGAAAGAAUAUGUCAUGCCAUGUCAUAUGCCAAAAUAUAAUAUAAAUGCAUCAAUAUAAAACAGGCGAAAUAAUAAAUCAACCGGAGACCCUACAAUGGUCCUGUACGGCUGAUUCUAUAGCUCAAUAUCCCAUCCAGCCGGAGUCACCAACUGUGACCUGUACGGCCCUGCCGGAGUCACCACUGUGACCUGUACGGCACUACACUGCACAUAAGUCGGAACUACCUAUAGUAGUCUGUACGACUAAUAUGGUAAAAUAAUACGCUCUAGUGUUUCUCUCAUCAAUCAUCUGUGCACAUAAUCUAAGGUCACCUACCAGUCGGAACCCCUCUAAUGGUCUGUACGACUGGCAUGUCGGAACCAUCUCUAGUGGUCUGUACGACUAGCAUCUACUUAGAUCCAAGGUGAGCGUGUGAUGCAGGGUGACUAACAUAAGCACUAACACCAGAGGUGCAGGUUAUGAGCUCUCAACAUAAUUCACAUCAUCAUUCAUUCAUGUAAACCAUAUAAACUCACAUGAUACUCACAUGUGCGUCCACAGCACCAAUUCACAUAUAUAUAUAUGCAUCAAUAUCAAUUCAUAUAAUUUUUUUAUAUGCAUCAUGGCAAUUGAAAACAUACUUUCAUAUAAAUUCAAUUUUUGGGACAAUUAAUAGUAUAUAGGUAAUACGAAAAAAAAAAAAACUGCCCACUCACCUGGAGUUCGCCCAACAGCUCCAUAGCACCACACAUCAAGGCGUCAAGACGAUCAACGCCUAGAACAAUAAUCAAAUCCAACCUCAGAAUUCAUAUCGAUGGAAUAUAUAACUUAUAUAAAACACGUCACUACGUAGUUCAGUCCGGACGAUUUGCAACUCAGAUUUCAAAUCCAUAACUUCCAGAGGUCCACAAUAUACCUCUAGGACAUCAUCCUAAAAUUUCAUUACCAUCCAAUGGUCGGAUCUCCGUCAAUUUCGGAAACCAAGUGACGGUUAACAUUUUAUUUUAUGAACUUACAACUCCAAUUCUGAAAGAUCCGUAAAUCGGAUUCCCGAUCCGUAAAUCGGAUUCCUGAUCCGUAAGUUCCUAUAAUCCUAAAAUAUUACGUAUUACAACGUAUCAAAGUUUGGUGACGAUCCAACGGUCGGAUCGUCAAUUCACAUUUUCACCUAACCAUGAAUCGAAACGAACUUAGGUUCAAUUACUCAAUUUACGUCCAUCAAUUAUUAAAACUGAACCUAGAACCUUAAACACAUGCUAAAAAUGACAUUGGCGGGCCAUUGGCCACGCGCCGCCGCACGGGCCGCCACGGGUGGCGGUCGGUCGCCCCGGUUCGCCGGAAAAUCCAACUAUUUCCAAAAAUUCUCAAAAAAAAUACAGAAUUAAAGAUCUCAAUGAGUAGAGCAACUUUCAUACCUGUGGCCAAGGCCAAUUUGGCCUGGAAACACUUCAAAUUCAUCAAAUUCCGUGCGGACCCUAGAAUUGGGUGAGCUUCAAUUCGACCUCUAAACUUGUUCCAACGCCUCUACUACUUCUUGGGCUUUGUUCUAGGUCCUAAAGGAAUGCUAAUGGUGUUAGUAAUUGAAAGAAAAUAUUUCAAGAUUUGAAGAAUUUAGACAAGAAAGUCGCGGCACCCGUGUGGGUGUUCUUCGCGAAAUCAUCAUGAAAUUCAUUGAUUUUUGGGGUGAAAUGUGAAGAGGGAAGGCCUAGGUGUUAAUUGGGAGUGGUACCUUGAUCCAAUUCUUCGGAAAAUUGAACGAGAACGGCGAGAACCCGCCGAUUUGAAGGCACGGGUUGCACGGGUCAAGGAUGACCCGUUUCCUCCUUUUCCCCCGUUCACCACUCUCCCUCUUUUCCCUCAUUUCCAUCCUCUGGUUGGUCAGCUUCUCCCUCUCUCUUCUCCUGAUUCGCUGGACUCCCUCAUUUCUCUCCCGGAGCUCCGGCUCUCUCUUCUUUUGGUUAGGCAGUUUCUGCCCAAUCCUCAAUCUUCUUCUUCUUCUUCUUCUUCUUCUUACGCGCACACACACACCAAAAACCUUAUUUCAUUUAAAUUUAUUUAUUUUUGUUUUUCCUUACAUCCAAGCCAUCCAUUUAAUCUUCAUUAAAUCUGGGCCAUCCAAAUUUUAAUAAUAAAAUUUAUAAAAUGCUCAAACUUCAAACUUUAAAAUCUUUUUCGUUAUAACUCCAAAUAACGAACCGUCUACGCCCACGCGUCCGUAGCGACGAGUACUUCGAGGAUAUGUCAAGAAAACAAAUCUUAGAUGGCACAACAUGAUGAUUAACCUCGAAUAAUACACGUACCUCAAAGGACACUUUUGUAAAAUCCUUUAUUAAAACUUUAAAAAUUCUUAAAAUUAGGGACGGGCUGUCACAAUUCUCAUAUUAAUUUUGAUAGUUAUAAUAGUUUCUUUUUAUAACCACAAUUUUUCAAUGUAGAAACAAAUGUUUUUAAUAAAUUGAAGUACACAAUUCCUCUUAAGAUUGUUCUCUCCUCUUGUGAGAAUCUUUCUCACCGUUGUGUGAGUGAUCUUCACUUUCGUAGAUCCGCGUUGCUACCAGCCUUAGUUGUGGCUAAGGUCGGUGACAAUCCCAUGAUUUGUCUUUGUUUUCAUAUUUUCCUCGCUCUUCAUGUUGCCUGCAAUUUUUCUUGUUCUUGCCCUUCACCAUUUCAUCCUUUCUAUCAUCUCUCUGCCUUUGAUUUUACCAUUUCUAGUCCUAAUCCCAAAUCCUCCUUGUCCUCUAUCCUCCAUGAUCCAUUCCCCUCCAUCAUCUCCAUCAUUUGGCUCUAGCAUCUCUCUGCCAUCCCCAAUUCCAUUUAGGUGCCGCCUAUUUUCGCCGCGAUUUGUUGCAAAUGUAUGAAAGUCUGUGUAGAGCUUGGGCUCAGGAAUUUGCAACACCACCUUUGUUGUACAUGAGAUCUUUCUUCCCCUGUACUUCUUUGAUUUCAGGAGGCCUAUAUUAUUAGAGUUUUUAUGUGUUGUUUUUUUUGGGCUGGGCUCCAAGGCUAGCUUUGGGUUUUGUCUUCUAUGUUUUUGCGCCCAUUUUAUCUUUUGUGCUUAACCUGUAUUUGAGACUCUAUUGUACUUAUUCCUUGUUGGUAAUGAAUUUUAUCUUUGUCCAAAAAAAAAUUCCUCAUAAUAAUUUGAAGUAUGUACCAAUUCCAAUUUUGGGAUUUGACUAUAAUACUUAUAUGUAUUCAGUACAAUCACCCUCUGAAGGUCAAAUAUGUUCAUGUAAAUAUAUGUAUUUAAUACAAUUACCAUCUAACUGAGAUAAUAAUUGUAUUAAAUACAUGUAAGCCGGACAUUGUAUAUUUGAGAAAGUUUAUGUAUAGUUUCCGCAAAAGUUUAUUUUGGGAGUAGCUUAUAUCCGUAUAUGGUUUUUCCACCGUGAAAUCAGACCCCUCUGUCCAGUCUCUUACAUUAUUGAUAUGCUCAUCCCCCGAAAUCUUCAUUUCUCAUCUGAAGGCAGAUUAGAGAAAUCAACAUUCUAAGUGGUCAAAAAUGUUGCCCAAGGUGUUUAUAGGUCUCGAGUCAAUCAGUGAUAUGCCUUCAGCUUUGUGACUGAGAGCUUUGGCAUGUGCUCGGGAUCUAGAUGAAAGACUCGGGAUCCAGAUGAUAGUUGGUUUAACCUCUCCCUUGGUAGGUAAACUUAAAUUGGAAGGAAAGCAACUCAAUGCUUUUCUUUUCUUUUUUUUUUUAUUAUUUUUUUUAUGGCAAGAAUGCUACUAGAUUAAUGGCAGAUUUAUCAUGUGAGUGUCAUUGAAGUUUUAUUUUGAAUCUAAACAGGUUUUUGUCAAUUGUUAUUUUCAAAGGUUGUGACAGUUUGCUGGCCUAGCAGAAAUUUUUGUGAUCAUAAAACCGUCAUGUGAUAUUACUAUUGUGAAUGUUACGCAAUGAAAAAAGUUUGUAAAAGAUUGUUGAUCGGCCUUUGCAGCCACCAAAAUAAUAUAUGUAAAAAGUUGCUGAUCAACGAUAAUAGGUAGCUUGCAAUUUUUUUUUAAUGUAUCCUAUUAAAUGGAUUUGAGAGCUGCGAUAUUACUUAAUUAUUUUAACAAUUUACAUUAGCAGCUUUUAAUUUUUCACAUUGUAACCGAGAAGCAUGUAUAUCAUGAAAAAUAAAAGAAGUUCUAAAGUGACGAUCGAAGAAUUUAAAAGUGUUGGUUGGUGUAUGUGUGCAAAUAUAACUGUAAACAGGAAUACAAAUCCAUGAUUGAACCCCUACUUUGGUUGUAACAUGAACACCUUAGGUUUUAUGGAAUGCUUUUAAAGAUCAUAAGAGUAAACUAACAGAUUGGUCGAUUCAUAGAUUGAGGCAAGAGACACGGGUUUCGGACAACCAAUUCGGGUUCAUGCCAGGCCGCUCAACCAUGGAGGCAAUCUAUCUCUUACGAAGAUUGAUGGAAAAAUAUAGAGAUGGGAAAAAUGAUUUACACAUGGUCUUUAUAGAUUUGGAAAAAGCGUAUGAUAGGGUCCCAAGAGACAUUCUUUGGAGGAUUUUAGAGAAGAAAGGAGUACGAGUAGCAUAUAUCCAAGCUAUAAAGGAUAUGUAUGAAGGAGCAAAGACUGCCGUAAGAACUCAUGAAGGACAAACCGAAAGCUUUCCCAUAACUGUAGGAUUACAUCAAGGCUCAUCCUUAAGUCCUUACCUUUUUGCGUUGGUAAUGGAUGAGUUAACAGGACAUAUUCAAGAUGAUAUUCCUUGGUGUAUGCUUUUCGCAGACGAUAUAGUGUUGAUAGAUGAAACUCAGGAAGGGGUAAAUGCAAAGCUUAACCUUUGGAGAGAAGUGUUGGAAUCUAAAGGUCUUCGCCUAAGCCGAUCAAAGACAGAAUAUAUGGAGUGUAAGUUCAGUGCAAAUGGAGGCCAAAACGAGUUAGGGGUGAGGAUCGGAGAUCAAGAAAUACCAAAGAGCGACCGUUUUCGUUACCUAGGAUCUAUCUUGCAAAAGAACGGAGAAUUAGAUGGAGAUCUCAACCACAGAAUACAAGCUGGAUGGAUGAAGUGGAAGAGUGCAUCCGGCGUGUUGUGUGACCGACGUAUGCCACUGAAGCUCAAGGGAAAAUUUUAUAGGACGGCAAUAAGGCCGGCGAUGCUGUAUGGCACAGAAUGUUGGGCGGUGAAACAUCAACACGUACACAAAAUGGGUGUAGCGGAGAUGAGGAUGCUUCGUUGGAUGUGUGGGCACACGAGAAAGGAUAAGAUUAGGAAUGAGGAUAUCCGGGGUAAAGUAGGAGUAGCCGAAAUUGAAGGAAAGAUGAGAGAAAAUCGGUUACGGUGGUUUGGACAUGUGCAAAGAAGGCCCACUGACGCUCCGAUUAGAAAAUGCGACUAUGGGACAGAGGUUCAAGGCCGAAGGGGUAGAGGAAGACCUAGGAAAACUUUGGAAGAGACUCUAAGAAAAGACUUAGAGUACUUAGAUCUAACGAAGGACAUGACUCAGGAUCGAGCACAAUGGCGUUCUAAGAUUCAUAUAGCCGAUCCCACUCAGUGACUUGGAUUUUCCAAGUCUCCAACCGAGAAGUUUUCCUCACUCGGGAAAUUAAGGGAACACUACCCCAACCUACAUGCUCCACUCAGAAAGCUUCAACAUACAAGCUUCAACAAAAGAAAAUUCAAAGAACUUAGCGAAGAAGGCUUUGGUGUAUUUAACACAAUACGUUGAAAUGAAGGAAAGCUUAUUUAUUGAUAUCCCCAAUAAGCUACAAAUAUGUACAUAUACAUGAGUCAAAAUAAACACACAAGAGGGAGCCUUCACAAAGGUUGCUUAGGAGAAGUCUCAGCAGUCGGUAGAGCCCCAGAAAGAGAAGGCACCGGAGGGGGAUCAUUUGGAGCCUCAGUACUGGACAAAACCCUAGAAGGAGGAGGCAUCAGAGGUUGAUCAUUCGGAGCUUCAUUACGCGGUACAGCCCCAGAAGACGAAGGCAAUAAAUGCCUUUGGAACAAACCCACAAAUCUCUGAUGAUCAAGUAAAACCUGACCAUCAGUUUCCUUCAUCUGGUCAAGCUUCCUCUUCAUGUUUGUAGCAUAGUCAUGUGCGAGCCGGUGCAACUGUUUAUUCUCAUGCUUGAGCCCUCUAAUCUCCUGUUUGAGACUCAUCACUUCAGCCGCCAAUGAUUCAACUUGGCGGGUUCGAGCAAAUAGGCGUUGGGCCAUAUUAGACACAGAACCUGCACACUGAACACUGAGAGCCAGCGAAUCCUUAACAGCUAACUCAUCAGACCGUUUGGAAAGUAGUCUGUUAUCUUUGGGGGUGAGAAGGUUCCUGGCCACCACCGCAGCGGUCAUAUCAUUCUUCAUCACAAAAUCCCCAACGGUAAGAGGACCAGUAGGGGAGACGAAGGAUGGGCGCCAUAUGUUGUCUGGAGAAGACGGGGCUGCCUCUUCAACAAGGUUCAAGUCAAAACGACGGUCGGAGGGGCCAGAAAUUUUCAAAGGUGUUGAAGAGAGAAGAGGUCGGACAAAUCAAGAUCUUAGAAGUGCAAGAAUGAAGCUUCUACUGGUGGAGAUUCAAGUGUGCUUUGGAACUUAAUGCCAGCCCCUAUAAAAAUCUGCACUCGACGGAGCUUCAGAAAUCGAAGAGGCGCCUGCUCAGAAAUCGAAGAGGCGUUUGCUUUCUCAAAAGCUGGGUUGCUUAGAGAUCACGAGGGUUGAUCUCAGAAAUCGAAGAGGCGUUUGCUUUCUCAAAAGUUGGGCUGCUCUAAGACCACGAAGGUCGAUCUCAGAAAUCGAAGAGGCGCUCGCUUUCUCAAAAGCUGGGCUGCUCAGAGACCACGAGGGCCGAUCUCAGAAAUCGAAGAGGCACCUACUUUUCCAGCCUUGUCAGCACCUGUCACACGCACACUCAGCUUUGCGGAAAUUAUGGGCAUUCUGUCGAAGACUUCUGGGGAAGUAGAAAACUCAUGAAUCUUACUGUUCAAUCACCCACUUCGCACACGCAACAAUAGCUCAUGGGUACCACAGAUAACUUUGCCAAAGUUUUCUGCCAAAGUUGAGCACGUGAAGCUUGCAGCUCCCACUACAUCGCUCUGACCAAGAAGGGUAAAAGAAUAGCAAAGAAACAACACUAACAAAGUUUAGACCCAUAAAUUUUGAAGGUCUAGCUACCAUAUUAUUACCCACAAGGGUAAAGGAACAGUACCACUGCUGGAUAAUUGGAAAGUCCCUGUGUGUCAACCUCUGUGCUUCGUGGCAAGGUAGACUAGCAAACAUGCCCAACCUUUACUCACAUUCGAGAAAACACUCCCAAUAAGAUUGCUUGCUCCAAAAUCGAAGAGGCACCGUCCUCCGAAUCUCGAGAGCCAGACUCCCAACAUGACUACUUUCUUAAAAAUCGAAGAGAGAGGGUAAAGGAACAGUACCAUUGCUGGAUAAUUGGAAAGUCCCUGUGUGUCAACCUCUGUGCUUCGUGGCAAGGUAGACUAGCAAACAUGCCCAACCUUUACUCACAUUCGAGAAAACACUCCCAACAAGAUUGCUUGCUCCAAAAUCGAAGAGGCACCGCCCUCCGAAUCUCGAGAGCCAGACUCCCAACAUGAUUACUUUCUCAAAAAUCGAAGAGACACUGCUCCCCGAAUCUUCGAGAGCCAGAGCCCCAGCAUGAUUGCUUUCUCAAAAAUCGAUAAGGCAUCGUUCUCCAAAGCAAUCGAAGAGGCGCUCGCUUUCUCAAAAGCUGGGCUGCUCAGAGACCACGAGGGCCGAUCUCAGAAAUCGAAGAGGCACCUACUAUUCUAGCCUUGUCAGCACCUGUCACACGCACACUCAGCUUUGCAGAAAUUAUGGGCAUUCUGUCGAAGACUUCUGGUGAAGUAGAAAGCACAUGAAUCUUACUGUUCAAUCACCCACUUCCCACACGCAACAAUAGCUCAUGGGUACCACAGAUAACUUUGCCAAAGUUAUCUGCCAAAGUUGAGCACGUGAAGCUUGCAGCUCCCACUACAUCGCUCUGACCAAGAAAGGUAAAAGAAUAGCAAAGAAACAGCACUAACAAAGUUUAGACACAUAAAUUUUGAAGGUCUAGCUACCAUAUUAUUACCCACAAGGGUAAAGGAACAGUACCAUUGCUGGAUAAUUGGAAAGUUCCUGUGUGUCAACCUCUGUGCUUCGUGGCAAGGUAGACUAGCAAACAUGCCCAACCUUUACUCACAUUCGAGAAAACACUCCCAACAAAAUUGCUUGCUCCAAAAUCGAAGAGGCACCGUCCUCCGAAUCUCGAGAGCCAGACUCCCAACAUGACUACUUUCUCAAAAGCGAAGAGAGGGUAAAGGAACAGUACCAUUGCUAGAUAAUUGGAAAGUUCCUGUGUGUCAACCUUUGUGCUUCGGGGCAAGGUAGACUAGCAAACAUGCCCAACCUUUACUCACAUUCGAGACAACACUCCCAACAGGAUUGCUUGCUCCAAAAUCGAAGAGGCACCGCCCUCCGAAUCUCGAGAGCCAGACUCCCAAUAUGAUUACUUCCUCAAAAAUCGAAGAGACACUGCUUUCCGAAUCUCGAGAGCCAGACCCCCAGCAUGAUUGCUUUCUCAAAAAUCGAAGAGGCAUCGUUCUCCAAAUCUCGAGAGCCAGAUACCACAGACCAUUUUUUCAAAGUGAUCUCACAGAGUUAAAACAUGUGAAACUGGCAGCUCCCACUACCGUGCUAUGACCAAGCAGGGUAAAUGAAUAGCAUUACUACUUGUUGUUAGGGAGACUCCUAUAUAUGUCGACCUCCAUCCCCAACGGACAGGCAGACCUGCAAAAAUGCUCAACCCUUCAUCAUAUCUGAGAGGGCACUCCCAACGAAGCCUUUCGAAAUAUUCAGCUUUCUUUCCCCCCGAUAAUACCUCUGCAAACAAGCUAUACUAGAGCAAGAAUAUCUCAUAUCAUCAGGGUUAAAAGUAAGAGUAUCUCAUAUCAUGCUUUUUCCCUGUCUUUUCCUUUGGCCUUGUUUUUUACCUGCAAGACAAGGAGAAAGAGAGCAAUCAGUCAGCACUUGGAAUCAAGCUUCCAGCCAGGAACUGACUGCCUGGAACCCCUUACCUGAUUACUUACCUGGCAUUGCUCUCGAGUACUCAUCUUCAACAUCUUAUGUUUCCAGGGAAGAUUCCGCAUCUGCUUGAGGAACAGAUAGGGCAAGUGCGAAGGAUACAAGGAAGCAUGUGGAGACGAGCGUAACAGCACACGUGCCGAUACAUCCAUUACUCUGUCAAAAGCAAAAGUAUCCCAUAUCAGCAGGGUGGAACGUACUCUAGAUUUGAUGGACUUGUUUUGACCCUCAAAUUCUUCAGUCGGCCUUAUACUCUGGAGGAAACCAGAAAACCCUCCAGCUCAGUUCAAGAAUAAGCCUGUGGAAAGUUACUUCUUCAAAAGCAAAAGUAUCUCAUAUCAUCUCUUCUCAUUUUUCUUCUCUUUAUCCUUCAUGCUGCUGCAAGAUGGGGAGAAGGUGAACAAUCGGUCGGAGCUCUGAUUGCUUACCUUGUCUGUCACCUCUUUCAGCAGACCCCCUAGCUCGGCGACUUGGGGGACUCCUACUACAUGGUUUGUAUCGCGCUUGACCAAGCCUUGAAACUACAAGUAAGCUUCAAGUGAAAUUGAUACAUUACCUUGUGCAUCUCCACCAGUUAAAGAUACCACCCCUGGAUGGAAGAAGAGUACUUCCAGAGAAGAUGCCACAUCUACCUAUGAGACAGAUAAGGCAAGUCAAGACGACACCACACUCCGAUACUUAGAAGUUUCGUGAUUACGAGAUCAUUCUCCCACAAUAUUUCCUAAUGUCAUUUGUACUAAAUCAUUCACUUGUACUCACUAAAGGAGAGCUUGAACCUAUGUACUUGUGUAAACCCUUCACAAUUAAUGAGAACUCUUCUAUUCCGUGGACGUAGCCAAUCUGGGUGAACCACAUACAUCUUGUGUUUGCUUUCUUAUCUCUAUCCAUUUAUGUACUUAUCCACACUAAUGACCGGAGCAAUCUAGCGAAGAUCACAAAAAGCGACCGUUUUCGCUACCUAGGAUCUAUCUUGCAAGAGAACGGAGAAUUAGAUGGAGAUCUCAACCAUAGAAUACGAGCUGGAUGGAUGAAGUGUAAGAGUGCAUCCGGCGUGUUGUGUGACCGUCGUAGGCCACUGAAGCUCAAGGGAAAAUUUUAUAGGACGGCAAUAAGGCCAGCGAUGUUGUAUGGCACAGAAUGUUGGGCGGUGAAGCAUCAACACGUACACAAAAUGGGUGUAGCGGAGAUGAGGAUGCUUUGUGGGAUGUGUGGGCACACGAGAAAGGAUAAGAUUGGGAAUGAGGAUAUCCGAGGUAAAGUAGGAGUAGCCGAAAUUGUAGGAAAGAUGAGAGAAAAUCGGCUCCGGUGAUUUGGACAUGUGCAAAGAAGGCCGACUGACGCUCCGGUUCGAAGAUGUGACUACGGGACAGAGGUUCAGGGCCGAAGGGGUAGAGGAAGACCUAGGAAAACUUUGGAAGAGACUCUAAGAAAAGACUUAGAGUACUUGGAUCUAACGGAGGACAUGACACAAAACCGAGCGCAAUGGCGUUCUAGGAUUCAUAUAGCCGACCCCACUUAGUGGGAAAAAGCUUUGUUGUUGUUGUUGUUGUUGUAUAAUUUCUCAAAUCCUAUGAUUUAAAUACUUUUGCCUACUUAAUAUACCUCCUUUUUAUUUUGGUUUUGUGUUGAAUUUUACUGUUUUGCAAUUUGCAAUUAAUCGGUACAUUACCAAGUUUGAAUAUUUUUAUAUAGGUGAUUUAAUUUUUCUUGCAUUUGGAACCCAAAAAAAAAAAAAAUGUGAUCUUCUAUUUUUCUGACGUUUACUUAUAUUUUGCAUCUCAGAAGGGCAGAUACACUCAUGAAUCUCAACCGACUUGCAUAGGAGUAAAAAGAUUGUUCACUGACGGAGGUAAAAUGAUUCUUAAUCUUUCGUGAGGUUUUCCUUUAUUGUUAGACUAUUUAUCAGAUUUUUGGCUUCUACAUAAUUUACCAAAACCAUAACUGGCAGAUGGUUUUAUACUUGACCGAAUUGUUAAAAUUAUUUCAUUACGAGGCUGAAAAAGCUGGAGUGUUCCGUUUGCUUCCAGUACAUUCUUCCAACCCAGUUCCAGUUCUCUCUCGCCAGUUUCCAAGAAGCAUAGCGUGAGUUCCUCUUCUUUUUCUUAAUUACACAGUAUUCAAUUAGCAUGUGGGAUGUAUUGUUAACAUUAAGGACCUCUGUAAAUUUUUUAUUGUUUACUGACCAAUUGCAGGUAGAUGGUAUGCUCACAGAACUUGCCUGCUUGCUUCUUCAUAUACCUUCCGUGCAAUGUUUGAUGGUGGUAUGAUUUUCCAAUUUCUCGUUUGCAGCAUUUUCUUUUUGGUUUUCGUCGUGUAUGCACUACAAAAGUAACACAGCGGGAGUAGGUUUAGAGGGUAAAGAAAUUUCUUCAUGUAAUGAGAAGUGAGGGUUUUUGCUUAACCACUUUUAUUUACUGGUUUUUUAGUCAAGUUUAUAGCACCGAGGAUAUAGGUGAACGGUGAAGCAAUUUGGGUAACAUGUUAUGAGAAGUAUACUAAAUGGUUUUUCCUUUUUUUUUUUGUUUUGUUAGAGAUUAAAGAUGUAAGUGUACCAAAUUGGAAGCUCAAAUAUUGAACAACAUGAUUUACUUCAUUUGUUAGUUGGUAAAGACUUCGUCUCUCCUCAAAACCCAUUGUAUUCCUUCGGCUCUUUUUUCUUGGUGAGAAUUGGAAUUUUUAUUUAUGUUUUGAAACUCUAAAUUGGUUGUCCUUGUCAUAUGAAAAAUGAAUAUAUUUUUGUGUGAUUGUAUUUGUAUGAACAACUUAAACCACAUCUUUUUCUAUGUAAUGUAUUCUUCAAAUACCUAUCUUUUGUUCAUUAUUACACAUAAGGAUGCAAAUAGACGAUGGUAUGGACGUGGACAGAUUUGAAUAUGUGAUAUAUCCUACAUAUAUUUAUCUUUUUACCUUAUGGAAUAUGAGGAUGUAAAUAGAUAUUUCUUUGAUAUGGAUAUAAUUAGGUUUUAAUAUAUUUGAUGUUUAACAAAUUUUAAAACCCGCGGUAUCGCACGGAUUCUUUUGCUAGUAUUAUCUAAUAUUUCUUUAUAUUAAGUUUGAAGACAUGACAUUCACAUGUACCCAUGUUGGUAGAAGAAAGUUGCUCAAUUAUCAAGAUUAGAUCAAGAAAGAGGAAAGAGAAAUUUUGUAUAAAAAAAAUAUAAUAUGUCGAAAGAUGCCUCUCUAGGUUGGAAACUUAUUGGGCAUUCAUAUGUGUAUUUUGUCUGUCUUUCUCCAAUCAUGCCCAUUUGCUCAAUCCCAGCUGUAACUAACCUCCAACCCCUCUCCCUCUUGCGCUCCACCUCUUUUUCCAAUCCAAUUCUCCAACAAUCAAUCCAAUCUGCAUCCUCACCGUCCCAUGCUGUCCCCAUUCCUUGAUGUCCCAUUUCAUUUGCCACCCUAGCUCAUUCCUCUGGUGAUGAAACCAAUCAUAUUCCAAAUCAAUCACAUAAUGUACAUGUUAUAUGCGUGAAUAACUUGAGAAACUAUCAUUGUGCGAACUUGAAACACCGUCACAAUAAUGUCUUCGUAAGUGAUGAUGAGUAUAGUCUACCAAGAGAUAGAUACAUUUUCUCAUUCAAUCUUCCAGGCAUAAAGAAAUAAGCAAAACUCGGAUGAACCAGCAGAACUUGCAUUAAUCCCUUCUACUGAUGCAGAACUAGUCUGAGAGGACAAUGGAGUUGAUGCCGAUGAAGAAAAUGGCGGCGAGGAUGACGAGGUUCUCGAUAACGGUGACAGAGAUGUACUUGAAGCAGGCAAACUUGGCUUGAAAAUAAACAAUGCACGCCUUAAUCCUGGACUAAAAAGCCAGUCAUGGACAUCCCAAUAAACCUCAAUUCUCAACUUGUUGAUACGAAUGGACUCAUUACCUCUAAACUUCCAUUGAAGAUGCUUCACAUGAACCACCAAAUGCCCAUCAACCCUAAUCUCCAACUCCGGCUCCACCCCAUUUAGGGUACUUCCACUCCCAAUGCUCCCGUCGCCGCCACCGCCACCUCUGUGUUUGCAUUCAAUUGCAAUUUCAUGCAGCCUGCCUUUUUCAUAAAACUUAGCUUUUGUGGAAAACUUUUUCUUACCAAAAAUGUGCUCUUUUUUAGAAACCAAAGUGGGAUCAGUGAGGGCAGGUCUAAAACCUGUUUUUCUGUAUGCAUCUUUUUUGAGAUCACCAAGAAGCAAAACAACUUCCUUGUCACAAAGAACCGCAACGUAGUACUCUGAUUUGGGCUCCGUCCCGCCGUUGAAUUUUGCGGCCUUGAGGUCCCAGAAGAUCUCCACUGCCUUCCCAUCAACCACAAAGCGCUUGGAGCCUUGCUUCCUCCAGAAGUACCAUGGCUUGAGCUCAACUUUGAAGCUGUGUUGGGUGUGCUGCUGGGUUUGAUCUCCAUCCGGGCCCUCCAUCGUCACCGAUAGGCCAUGGAGGAGCAGGUUUUUGCACCAUGUGAUCGUGAUCAAGCGGCUCUGAUCGGCUAUCUUGGUUCUGUACACUCUCAUGUAGACACUGUGGCCUGACCUAGCCACAGCUGAUGCAUCAUCACUUAACUUCUCACCUGAGGAGAAGCAAGCAGGAAUGCCAAUGUGGUCUUGCAUUUUUCGUCACCACGACGGAUUCAGGAUUUGAAAAAUGAGGUGCGUCGAACGACGAUUCCAAGACUCAAAAAUGAGGUGCGAAAAAACCUUUAUAGCAGUGACGGAUCCAGAAUUUAAAACUGAAACGUACUUAACGGAGUUAUCAAAGCAGAAAGUUUCUCAAGAGGAUGAAAACCAAAGGAGUGGAAGAUGAGGAACAAAUUGGAGGAAGGAGAGUUGGGGGGGAGAGGGGAGUUUUAAGACGGUGGGAGAGAGUGAGUGAGAGAACCUAGUCACAAGAUGUGUUGAGUCACAGAUGCUGCCAGAGGUGUGUUUGGCAGCAUUGUUUAAAGAACUAUUUCUAAACUGGUAGAUAGACUGGCAGUUCAUUUCUAAUCUCUCUCUUACCUGGAUUUCAAUUUAUUUAUUUUGUUAAUUGUACUUUAAAUAUAUUACAAUUUUCUUUGCAAUUUUACAAAGACAACUUUAUUGAAUCCGAGGUGGUUUUGCUUCCGCUGCACGCACUUAAAUUACAUAAUUCCACGCAUGGUUAAAAGUAUAAGUAAGACCAUUUGUCAACACAUUAUUUAUGGUUCAACCAUGUUAUUUGACUCUCUGUAAUUGAACUCUAAAUAAUGAAUCUAACUAUCGAACAACCAUCAGCCAACACAUCGUGUAUUUUUAUAAAAUAUAUAGUUCAUGAUUACCGUGAUCAUACUUUAUGUAAUAAUACAUGUUUUAAAAAAUGUGAGAAAUUAAAGUAUCUUGACUCUAUAGCAUGAGUCAAUCCAAAAGUAGAUCUCUUUAACAUCAACCAAAAAACCCAGUCAAAACUAUAUAACGUAAAAGAGUUUGGAUAAUUUGGUUUUGCUUCCCGAUGUGGGUCUUGUGGAUUUUUUAUUGUUUGAAUAAGCGUUCAUAAAGUUUGUAUAUGGGAGGUGCAACUUUUUUUAACUUUGUAUUAAAAAAUGUGUAGCAAUUAUGUAGUAGAGGAAUCUAAGACUACGGGGGUGGUGGCGAUAAUUGCUGAGGGAAAAGUCUGAGGAAUCUAAUGUUUGUAGCUGCUGCAGAACUGGUCCAGCUAAUGGUUGCAUAAUAAUGCUUGGAUAAUCCUCACUUUUUUUACCUAUAAAUGAUAUCAUUGUGACGGUUUCAUUUCAAGUCAAUCAAAGCAUUAUUAUGUAUCUUAAUCUUAAUAUUUUUACAUGAUAAUGCUUAAUUCUCUUGACGUACUGCUAUAGUGAUAUCCAAGUUGAUAGACCAAAGUUGAAAUCAAAUAUCAUCAUGCAAGGAAUGAAUCCAAAUUUUCUCACAUAACUUAGAAUGACCUAUAUUAGCAAAAGCAUCAACCAGCAUAGUUAGUUGUCAUUCUUCACAUAUCAAAAUGUGUAAACUAAUAAAUAGGGACUGAAAAAUGGGCGAGUUCCACGUUGAAACUUGGUAUGUCAUACGUGAAUAUCUACGUAUGUUUUUUGUUGUUCAACUCGAACCUUCAUCUAAACCUCAUAUAAAGAGGGAUUAAAAAAAACAAGAGGAUCCUCAGACAUGAACAACUAGAUAUCAUUCCCCAUGUCAUUCUCUUUCUUCACCUUUUUUACACGAACAAUGAUUGACUACUGAAAGAAGAGUAGAAGCUCUUGUUGAAACCCCAUUAAAAUUUGACAAGUGUAAACAAGUAGGGCGAUGUUGGUUCAAGUUUUAAUUCUUCAAAUUAUUUGGACACGUGUCCAAUUUUAAUAACACUGAUUGAAUUCAGCAGGAGCUCCAGCUUUUCUUUCGGCAGCCAAUCCUUAUUCUUCUUACACAUGACUCAUGAAAUAUUACAUUUAACCUUUAAUUUGGUAUGUGAAGAAAAGGGCUAGUCCUCUUCAGGCCCAAAGUCCAUUACUGGGCCAGAUUAUACCGUUGAUAGGCCCGUUUGUACAAUCCUUGGGCCCAAAUCGGAGCCCUAAUGCCUUGAAGCCAAAGAGGGCAUUUUCGUCCAUCUACCCUGAACAUAAACCCCAUUUCCCAAGCUACCGUGGGUUUUGGGUAAGCCACCGGUCAUCCCUCCCCGUUUGGUUCCCUAGAAAACCCAAUAGAAAAUUGCAUCCAUUUUCUCAUUCCCCCACUCCAUUUUCUCAGCAACCAAACAGAAAAUUUGAUUGCAUACCCACUUCGUAAAAAUGCAGACUUUAAGCGCGAGCAUCCGAUUGGUCCGAAGACAAAGAAUCGACAGCUCAAAAAUUGCUCAUUUUAGAUCAAUCGGAGCUUACCAAUUGAGCAGCGGUUCUGGGUUUAGCUCGUUGGCGUCGGAUCGUUUGGCGUCUGCCGAGAAAUUGGGGGAUUUUUCGGGGUUGGGGUCUCUGAAGCUACUUGUUUCAGUCAAUUUCCAAGUUUUCGUAUCGGUCUUCGGCCUCGUUCGUAUGUUUUCGACUCGUUAUACUCUAUUUAACAGCAUUUUAGCAUGUUUUAGUUGAUUUUUAAUUUGAAGAUUGCACUUUUAACAUGUUUAUGGUAUUGGAUUUUACUCUGAAUAUGCCUGUAAUUGUGAAUUUUCGGUGUUUUUAUUCGAAAACACAGUGUUCUUCGUGUAAACGAGUUAUUGGGUGUUGGUACAUUUGAAAAAAGAAGAUUUCUUUGUUAACUUAAAGGUAUUUGAUGCACUUCGAGCUUGCGAAUGAGUCUACAGGCCGAUUUGCUUCGCGUUUUGCUUUUCGUGUUUAGGAAGGUCACUUGCCAGUGUGCACAAUGGAGGAUCCCUUUCCACCUAAUCCACCAAUUCUGUGAUCCGAACCGUUGAAAUUUGAUCUAACAAGGGUCCCUUUAAAAGUUAUAAUAACUGUAGCCGUUUGAUCAAAUUUCAACGGCCCGGAUCCUGGACUUGGUAGAUUAGGUGGAAAGGGAUCCGGAAAGGAUCCGCACAAUGGUCGUAAGUCAUAAACUUUGGUAGAGAAGGUGAAUUGGACGACUAUUUUUAUGUGUAUGAGAUGUAUACAAGGGUUAACCCGAACACUUGUAAACCGGAAAUGUGAUAGAGAAGUAACAAAAAGAUAUUCUGGAGAGAUGUGGAUUAUGACAUAAUUACUGUACAACUAGGAAACACGAACAUUAGAUCACACGUCAUAAACACAUAUUUAUGUUAUACAGUGUGGAAUUCAUCUGAAGUGCAAUAUUUUGUCUUUCUUUCCUAAGAUCAAUUUUUUGUGAUGCUGUGUACUAUAUUGUACCAGACUACAACUAGCUCUCCAAGUGAGACAUCAACUUGUUCGUGUAGUUCCAAGUUAUUCAAGAGUGCUCGACCAGGAUUUUGUCGAUGUGCGGCAGUUUUACCUCCUUUCCCAAGCAGGUGCAUUACAACAGGGGCAAAUCCUGUUCAAUCAGCUACUCAGGAUUCAGGAAUGUAUGAGUCUGAUGUAGCUCCUCCCAUCAAAUUCAAGAGGCUUGAUAAAACUGCUCACCACAUAAUGCAGGCAUGCCUCUAUCUGUUGGUAUUCAUGACAAGACAUAACGCGUGUUCUAUUCCUUUUAUAUUUAUAUUGGUUCAUUAUAUAUCCACAGAUUCUAGAUAAGGAAGCUGUAGAGGAAGUGAGGACACAGAGAGAAAUACCGGAUGUAAGGCCUGGGUAUAUGGUGCAACUCAGAGUGGUAUGUUGUGUUCAUUUUGAAAAAUUAAAGUUUUGUAAGGUGCUUUAUGUUGUGGACGGAGUUCCUUGUGAGAUUGAGCAGAUUCUUUUUUUCCCAAUGCUUUUCUGUAUGUGAACAGGAAGUACCCGACAACAAGCGACGUGUUUCAGUCGUGAAAGGCGUCGUGAUAGCUAGACGUAAUGCUGGUCUAAACUCUACAAUUAGAAUCAGGAGGCAAGUGGCUGGGGUCGGGGUUGAAUCUCUCUUUCCACUGUAAGCAAUUCUGGUUUUUAUUUUCUUUUACAUUGAUGGUCCUAGCCUGUAUUGUCUUUGCUACCCUGCUUUAAGUUGGAAAGAAAACAUGUGAUUUUCAUAGUGGGAUGUCCUGGAAGAGGGUGUAUUGAAAUUUUACUGUGAUAACUUAUUAAUUCUCGACUCUGAUUAUACGGGUAUUACACGCUUGUACAACAUUAUGCAUACGACAUUUUCGAAGAUUAGUCAGUUGUUGAUUGUCUUAUAAAAUGUACAUUAAAAUGGAGCCUUUAGAAAGUUACUGAGUUAUAUAGUCAAAAUUCUCUUCUCAAAAAAAAAAAUAUAGUCAAAAUUCUGUACUCUAAAAUUUAGAAACUAACCAUGCUCAGUAAAUAUUGCUAGUUAACGCUCUGGUGUUCAUGACUGCAAACUAAUUAAGGGCUGGUUUGGUAUUGCUGUGCUUUGAAAAAAAUCUGGUGUGAGAAUAAGCGGCUGUGCUGUGAGAAUAAGCGGCUGUGAAAAAAAUCAGCAGAGUGUUUGGUAAACUUUUUUGUAAAAGUGCUUUUGAAAAAAAAAACAGUCUGAUAGUGGGUAUUUUCAUUAAAAGAGCACUGCAGCUCCGUGUGCUUUGAAAAAAAACCAGUUUUCCAAAGCUACAAAUAGCAGCUUCAGCUUUUUCCUUUGAUUUCAGCUUAUUCUCACAGCAGCUUCCAAAAUAAGCCAUUUUUUUUUCAGUUUACCAAACACCUAAAACUCUCACAGCUUUUUUUUCAUGGGUGCUUUUUUUUUAAGCACCUUACUUCCAAACCACCCCUAACUUCAACGCAAAUUCUAGAUUUUUAGUUAUUUACACUUAAAUUACUAUUUGGGUGAAACAGAUGAUAUUUUGUACGCAAACUCGGUGUGGUGUCUUCAAACAAAUAUUUAUAUUGAUUUCUGAUUAUUUCAUGUGCAACUCAUGUGUGGGAUUUGCCUAUUCCUAUCAUUUGUUUCACAUAAGUAGAACUGUGCUCAGUCUCAACAGAAUGACUGAAAGUCGAUAACGUAUGGCAGGUAUUCGCCUAAUAUAAAGGAGAUUAAGGUGCUGGACAAGAAGAAAGUGCGGAGGGCGAAGCUGUACUAUGUCAGGGACAAAAUCAAUGCAUUUAAGAAGCAAUCGUAGCCAGUGGUAUCAAAAGGAUGUUGCCUGACGAAGAUGAUUCCCAUGUAUGACUUGGGUCAGAAAUCCAGCAAAAUUUUGGUGAUCUCAUUUCCUAUUGUUCUUUUUCUUUUGAACGCGUUAUUAGUCUGUGAAUCUUCAUCAAGUCUUUUGAGAAUCUGAGAUGCCUGGUAGAGACGUGCGAGUUCAACUGAAUACCGGGCAAGUUACCUGAAUAUUUUACUUUCCGAUUUAGUAUGUACUCAGGUUGAUGAAUGAUAUCAAGUUGGCAUAAAUGUGAUUGUUACACACGUAGACUGUUUUAUCAUUUAUUUUACUUUGGUUAGCUUCAUCUGUAGUUUCGAGUCCGUUGGCCAUCUCUUGUGUUGCUAUGGAGAAAUGAGAAAUUUUUCAGUGUGAUUAUCACAUUUCCUCGUGAUGUUGCUAAUUCACAUGUUACAAUAUGGUAUCAGUGGACAACAUGGUUUAAACAUAAGCGACCUAGGGUACGAGUGGAUUUGUAACACAACAUGGCAGUGUGACGGUCACACUAAAUUCGUUUGUGACGUCGCUUAAAACAAUAUUUGCCAGUCAACUUUUGAAUACAUCAAUAUUUUGUUUCUUUUUAGUACAUCAAUAUUUUUACAGGAGUUCGGCUAAGUCACACAAUUAGUAGUCUGAUUUGAUAUCGAAUUCGUAAUUCACAAGAUUAGAACCUAAGAUCUCUAACUUUUAAGCAAAGAGUGAUAUUACUAGACCAUAUUACUGAGUGGCAACAUAGAUCCUUUUUAGCUUAUAGUUUUUGGAUGUGAAUUCAAGCGAGGUCACCAUCAGCGUUUGUGUGCUAGUUCGUCAUGUCUUUAUGAAUUAGAAAGAAAAUGGUUACUGGUGAUAAGAUUUCUUUUGGAAAAACUAUUUUCGUACAUUAGCGUGACGACCUUGAUUAAUUAACGUCACAUUAGCUGCUAAAUUUCCUGUAUUAAAUUACAAUUAAUUAACGAGUCACUUUCAAUUGAUUAGUAGUUUUAUAAAACUUGAACAGUUCUGAUCAUAGAUUAACCUGCUAACUGGUUAGCUUGGAAAGAGAUUUUCUCCAGAUCCCUUCCUCCUAAUUCAUCAAAUCAGGAAAUUUAUGCCGUUGAAAUUUAAUCUAACAACUACAAACAGGGUCCACUUUAAAAGUUACAAUAACUUCAACCAUUGGAUUAAAUUUUAACAGCACAAAUUACCUGAUAUAGUGAAUUAGGAAAAGGGAUCCGGAGAUGAUCCUUUCCAUUUAUAAAACACUACCACUUUUUGGGAUGAAAGAUUUUUUUAGGGAACUUUAACGAAAAAUUCCCGGUACUAUUUACUCUAACGAAAAACCACAUUUUUAUACUAAAAAGUCAAUCCUGGUAGUAUUCACUUUAUCCUUUAUUUUGUUCUUAUCGUUAAAACUUAAAGUUUUUAAAUCUUUUUAAUUAGUUUUCCUAUUUUUUUUAAGCACUCGUCUAUUUAUUAAGAAAGUCAAACUAAUAUUUAAUCAGUAGAGCCCACUUGUAAAAAUUGUCAACCGUUGGAUGGCUCCACGUAAAGAAUCAACGUAGCAGUUUAAGGUUCGACAUCAAGCUGAAGAAACGCGCGUAGCACAUUACUCCCACAUGACCGAAAUAAAUAAAACAAAAAUAAAAUAAAUCAAAUCAAAAUCUCAGUUAGUUCUUCUAUCAUAGACGGCUUCGCUUUCACGUCCCAUUCUCUCUCUCUCUCUCUCUCUCUCUCUCUCUCUCUCUCCUCCUUUCACCUUCUCACACCUCCGCAAACGCACGCUCCUUCGUCCGCUUCUCCGCCUUCAUACUUCAGCACCUCCGACUGCCGGUUUCCUAAUACGGUGCGUAUUAGAAUUUGAUCCGAAUCGGGUCGUUCUCGGGUCGAUUUGCUUGGAAAAGACGAACGAGUCAUCGACAAUGCCACUGGAUUUGUCGUCGGAGCAAGACACCGACGAUGCCGAUAUCGAGUUCGUUGAGGUUGAUCCCACUGGUCGAUACGGUCGGGUCAGUGGCCGUUACUUUUUUCACUCUCUCUUUUGUUUUAAUUUCCAUUUCUUUUCUGUUUCUUUUUUUAAUUAUUUGUUGAUUUGAUUUAGCUGGUUUACUUUUGAAAUGUUUGGAAAUUAAUUACUCAAUGCCUUAAAGUCUUAAUCUUUUGUUAAUAAAGUUGUGAUUUAGAUUGAUAUGUGUUGAAUUCUCUUUCGUUUUGGUGAUUUUGCAGUAUAAAGAGGUUCUAGGAAAAGGGGCUUUCAAGAAAGUGUAUCCUUUUUGCUCUCAUUUGUUUAUUUACUUAUUUAUUUUUUGAAUUAAUUUUUGGGUUUUUAGUUGGAUACAAUGCGUUUGAAUUUGAACCAUUUUACUUGAUAUUAUAUCGAGGCGGAAUUGUGUUGUGGAUCUAUUUUUGUGUGGCCUUGAUCGGUAAGGAACUUAGAUAUCGAGCAUUUGAUGAAUUGGAAGGAAUAGAGGUAGCUUGGAAUCAGGUUAAGGUGGCGGAUCUACUACGCAACUCCGAAGAUUUAGAGAGACUGUAUUCGGAAGUUCAUUUGCUUAAGACUCUAAAGCACAAGAACAUAAUUAAGUUUUACAAUUCGUGGGUCGAUGCCAAGCAUGAGAACAUCAACCUUAUUACGGAGAUUUUCACUUCGGGAACUUUACGACAGUGAGUAUUUAGUGAUCUGUUGUUGUAUAACAUUCAAUGUUUGUGAUUUCUGUAUGCUUUUAUUCAGUGCCCCAGUGUCUCAGUGUCCAUUAUCGUGUAGGUACCGGAGAAAGCAUAAGCACGUUGAUUUGAGGGCGUUGAAGAAAUGGUCUAGGCAGAUCUUAGAAGGCCUUUGGUAUCUUCAUAAUCAUGACCCCCCAGUAAUCCAUCGAGAUUUGAAGUGUGACAACAUUUUUGUCAAUGGGAACCAAGGUGAAGUCAAAAUUGGUGACCUAGGACUGGCUGCUAUUCUUCGACAGGCUCGUUCAGCUCACAGUGUCAUUGGUGAGGACUGCAAUUAUAAUCAUUAUUCAUAUUUUUCUUCUGGGAUAGUAUUUAGUUCAGAAUCUUUAGUAACAGGGCCGGCAAUGUAAUUGUUUCCUCCCUUUAGGUACUCCCGAGUUUAUGGCGCCAGAACUUUACGAAGAGGAAUACAAUGAGCUUGUAGACAUUUAUGCCUUUGGCAUGUGCGUGCUAGAGUUGGUGACCUUUGAGUAUCCAUAUGUUGAAUGUUCAAAUGCUGCUCAAAUAUUCAAGAAAGUGACAUCAGUAAGGGCUUCAUGACUUUUUAUGCGUAUUUUCUCUGUGGACAUGAACAGUCACUUGAGGAAGACUUUCAAGACUUGGUUUGAUCUGUCAGACUCAAGUUUUUUAUUAAUUUAAUUUUUCUAGAUACAUUGCAUUAUUAUUUCUUUUGAUUGUGGUUAAUGAUUCAUUUCAUUGGAUUGUGAUGCAUGAUUCAGUUGUUUAGCUUAUUUCGCUACAGGAACUUUGGAUCCUUUCCCACCAAUAGAAAGGUUUAUACUUGUAAUUCUAGGCAUAUUUGCACAAACGCCCCUUGAUCUCCUGUUCCAGGACCAGCAUAAAUUUUGUUAGUUUGCCACUUUUCUGAAAAAUAGAGUUGUUAGGAGGAUUGUGGUGAAUGAUUAUGAUACAUUCUAACAUGGUCCUUGAAUCAGUUAUAACAUGCUACUUAUAUCUGUUCUUUUUUUCGUUUUGGUAUGGUAGGGAGUAAAGCCAGCAUCGUUGGCAAAAGUGACAGAUCCUGGAGUUAAAGCAUUCAUAGAAAAAUGCAUUGUGAAAGUUUCAGAACGCUUGCCUGCAAAAGAACUUCUUAUGGAUCCUUUUCUCCAAUCAGAUGACGAUCGUGAAAGUAUAACUCGCUCUCUACGACCCACUCAUUAUUCAGGUAAAGUGAGUUUUUUAUCUAGUGCUCAAAGGCUUUUUGUGUCAUUCUCCUCACAUUGUGACAUGCUAGAUGCAGAAGGCAGUUCUGAUCAGAUUGAUAUCGAGACAAAGGAUAUGGACCCUUCUCAUGAGACAAAUCGGGACUUCAGUGUGCAAGGUCAGAGGAAAGAUGACACGAUAUUUCUGAAAUUACGAAUAGCAGAUUCUACAGGUAGCCUUUUCUUUCUUUUUCUUCCCGCUUUCCAGUUUAUUUACUUUUCAGUCAAAGAAGUAUGUUUUUAUGCCAGUUCCUGGUCUUAAAAUUGAGAAAGUUUCCACCUGGGCCCAGGUCAUUUUCGAAAUAUUCACUUUCCAUUUGACAUUGGGGAAGACACUGCAAUUGCUGUUGCUAGUGAAAUGGUUCAAGAGUUAGACCUGACAGAUCAAGAUGUUUCAACAAUUGCUGAACUAAUCGACUCUGAAAUCCAUUCCCACAUUCCAGAUUGGCCGAUCGCGAAAAUUCUGGAGAUCAUAUUGAUGGUGAGGCCUCAACUCCUUAUAGCCAUGCUUCUGAGUAUAAUGAGGAUGCUUCCCCCUUGAUACACGAGGACCUUCUUUCUAGUAAUCUUGCAUUAGAAAGAUUGCCUUCAGGCCGCAAGUACUGGUGUGAAUCACCCAAGGAAGGCGGUGGAAAUUCUCCAGGGAAGUAUGUCAUUACCAAUUUGAAUUCUCCAGCGGAUCCAGUCACUGCAGGAGGUGCUGAAGAAAACGAGAACUCUCCUGGUAGCAGCCCUAGGGAGGAAGAUGAUGAAAAUGGUGCUGGCCCCUCAAAUUCACCAAAUGGUGGUGUUGAGGAAGAUGAGAAAUCUCCUGGUGGCCAUAGAGAGGAAAAUAAUCCAAAUGGUGAUGGAGCCUCUGAAUCACCGAGUGGUGAUAGUCAUGCAGCUACUAAUCCACAUCUUAUUAAUGGAGUUCAUCCAUUUGAAUCAGAAGAAGUAAAGAUCAUUGCCGAGAAACUUGAGAAUCUAUUGGUAGAACAGAAAAAGGAGUUAGACGAGCUCAAGAGGAAGCAUGAAUUAGCAAUAGCAGACCUAUUGAAAGAACUGCCACCAGUUUUCUGUCAAAAAGUUUUAGAUAUAUGUAAGAUGAGAUUUCCAGACUACAAAAUGCAGUAUGAGGGAGACAGCUAAACCAAUCAAUUUGCAGAUUCAGCAUCUCUUUUCCGUUUCAUAUCUCCACUGCCAAUGCCGGGAUAUAUAGAUUAUUCAUUUGAUUUUCCAGUGACAGAAACAGAAGUUGCAGAUAUAUCCUAUACUUCGGUAAAGGUUUAGCAAGUGAUAGAAACAGAAGAAGCUGUGUUUUUUGCUGCUGGAUGUGGAUAUUGAGGGAGAUUUGUAAUAUAGGUUCAGCAAGUGAUAGCCUGGAGGACAAUCAUUCUUGUCAUCUAGAUCAGCUUUAGAGUGACCCGGGAAGCCCUACAAAUUCCGGCACUUGGAACUCCCGCGAGGCAACUCAUCGAGUCUGAUAAGUCGAUUUGAUGCCUGAAGAUGAACAAGCUCGCCUACAUAUAACGAAUACGCGGUAGCCAUCACAUGGAGUACAUACCUGUACAGAUAAUUCUUUACCCUUCUUCUUUCAGUUAUACCUCAAAUCAGUGCGUUGAGCAAAUGUGAAAAUUAAUUUAAAUUUCUUAGUUUUGGGGGUUACGUGUUUGUCAAGUUAUUGUUGCGGCAUGCUUUGCCCUUGGUUUAUUGUUUAACUGCAUAAUAAUCAUAACAUGAAAGUUGAAAUUUAUAAUUGGCCCUUGUUUUUUCUGGAUUCCAAAAUAUGAGGUUGGUGUUCGUGGCACGUUGGCCAUUGCUUCGUAUGAUUUGUUUCCAAAAAUUAAGGUAUUUGCAUCAGUUACGUGGCACAAAGGGAGUCUGGCUUUUAUGGGUUGCCAUCACAUAAUGGGCACAAAUCACCAUCGAUCAGUCGAUUGCAUAUACUUUGGAGCCCAACUAAAUGAGAUCCAUUAUGAAAGUGCUUUUAAAAUGACUGAAAGUAUUUUUAAUGAGAGUGCUUUUGGAAUUAAUGCGUAGUAAAAAUGCAAGUGAAUCAUGAAAAAAUAUUUAAAAAUGUUUUUUGCAAAAACUAUAUAGUUGCUACCUCCUGCAACAAGCAUUUAAGUAUUUAUGAAACCUAGAAGCACUUUUACCAAUAGUACUUUCAGUUAGCCUCCAAUGUCCAAUGAACUUAAAGAGUCCCAUUGGGAUUUUUUUCUUUUACUUUAAAGAAAAUAAAUUUGUACAUGCAAUUUUUCUCUUUCUUCACAUUUUUGUUUACUUCUGUUUUUUCAUUAUCUUUUGAUUUAUUAAUCAAAUGACCAAUGGUAAACAUGAGUGUAUAAUGGGACGAGAGAGAAUGUGUGAAAAGUGACAAAAGUGUUUACAAUGAAAAAGAGUAUGAUGGUGAGUUGUCAAAUAAAACUAUUUUCAAAAUAAUUUAAGAGUUAAGCUUUGAAAUUUAUAGAAAACUCGGAGCUUGAGGAUGGAUAUUCAUACUCCAGAAGUUCUUUGCAAUUGGAAUUGAAAUCGAAAUCCCUAAAAAUGCAAUAAGAGCAGGAAAGGUUUUAUUUUCACACGUGUGAGCCCACAACCCUGGUUGCACAGAAACCCCAAACUCCCACCAGUAAUCCACGAAGACUAACUCUGAGGCAGAGAAAUGGAUAGACCACCCCAUAUGAGGUCCUCCUGUGUCUUCCUAACAAGAUAACACUCAUCUCACUCUCUCACUCUCUCCCUCUCCCUCUCUCUCUCCUCCCGCUUUCUCUCUCUAAAGACUCAGUCUUUCCAUGGCAAUUUCCACAGCAGCAGCUGCAGCUGCAACCUCAGCUUCCUCAAAGCUCGCAUACCCAUAUGCCUCCACAGCCUCCCCGUCCCCCACAACCUCUUCUUUCUCCAUUAGACCUUCUUCCAAGCUCACCCACCUCUCCUCCUCCUUCCUCAACCCCUCCACCAUCCUCCACCUCACACCCGCCUCCAACACCCGCCACCACCGCCGCAACUUCACCGUCAAAGCCGCCAGAGGUAAGUUCGAGCGCAAGAAGCCCCAUGUCAACAUCGGCACAAUCGGCCACGUCGACCACGGCAAGACCACCCUCACCGCAGCCCUCACCAUGGCCUUGGCCUCCAUCGGCAAUAGCGUCUCCAAGAAAUACGACGAAAUCGAUGCCGCCCCGGAAGAGCGCGCCCGUGGAAUCACCAUCAACACCGCCACCGUCGAGUACGAGACCGAGAACCGCCACUACGCCCACGUCGACUGCCCCGGCCACGCCGAUUACGUCAAGAACAUGAUUACCGGCGCCGCCCAGAUGGACGGCGCCAUUCUCGUCGUCUCUGGAGCCGACGGCCCAAUGCCGCAGACCAAAGAGCACAUCUUGCUGGCGAAGCAGGUGGGUGUGCCGAACAUGGUGGUUUUCCUGAACAAGCAGGACCAGGUGGACGACGAGGAGCUCUUGCAGCUCGUCGAGUUGGAGGUGAGAGAGUUGCUUUCUUCCUAUGAAUUUCCUGGUGAUGAUGUGCCUAUUAUUUCUGGAUCUGCACUGCUUGCACUAGAGGCUCUAAUGGCGAAUCCCACCAUUUCGCGAGGCGAAAAUCAAUGGGUUGAUAAGAUUUAUGAACUUAUGGACUCUGUUGAUGAUUACAUUCCGAUUCCUCAGAGGCAGACUGAGCUGCCAUUUUUGAUGGCGAUCGAAGAUGUGUUUUCGAUCACUGGCCGUGGCACUGUGGCCACUGGCCGUGUCGAGAGGGGGAAGGUUAAGGUCGGAGACACCGUCGACAUUGUUGGCUUGAAGGACACCAGGAACACAACUGUCACCGGUGUCGAAAUGUUUCAGAAAAUUCUUGAUGAUGCCAUGGCUGGUGACAAUGUGGGGUUGUUGCUUAGGGGUAUCCAGAAGAUUGAUAUCCAGAGAGGGAUGGUGUUGGCCAAACCCGGGACUAUUACCCCGCAUACCAAAUUCGAGGCGAUUGUGUAUGUGUUGAAGAAGGAAGAGGGGGGAAGGCAUUCACCGUUCUUUUCGGGUUACAGGCCGCAGUUUUACAUGAGGACUACUGAUGUCACCGGGAAGGUGACUUCGAUUAUGAACGAUAAGGAUGAGGAGUCGAAGAUGGUGAUGCCUGGCGAUCGCGUUAAGAUUGUGGUCGAGCUGAUUGUUCCGGUGGCGUGCGAGCAGGGGAUGAGGUUUGCCAUCAGAGAAGGAGGGAAGACUGUUGGAGCUGGUGUUAUUCAAUCCAUUAUUGAGUGAUAGAAAAUACAAAUUAUGUGGUGGUCUCAACUUGUUUUUGCAAUUUGGUGCCCAACUUGAACUCUCUCAGCUUCAAUUUUUAUCUGGUUUUUGACAUUUUGAAGCAAUUUCCACCAUGAAAUGUUAUAUAUCUUGUAGGUUUCAUCAUCUUGAUUUGCUCUGCUUUUUGUGAUCACUAACGUUAUUGUUGCAUUUUAUAGCUCAUAUUUUGUAUGUUACCACAUGAUUCAACAGCUAGAAACCGCUCAUGUCCGGCCUUAGGCCAUAGCAUGUAAAUGGUAAAGUGUAAUCUGUCACGAGAAUAUACAAAUUUCUGACCGAUUUGCCAUGCCGCCGCUGUUUGAGCUUCAAACGAUAUGGCCACGGGAUUGCCUAAAAAUUAGGUGAACAAAAAUUUGGUACUAGCAUAUAGAUUAGUAGAUAAUAUAUUCACUAAACCUGCCAUACUCUGCUAAUCAUCACUAAUUAUAAAAAGUCUGCCUUUAAAACAAGCUGUUAUAUAUAAAUAGACAUUUAACGACACAUUGUAUACGAUACAGUACACACAUUGCCUUGCUGCAGACAAAUAUUGUCCAUCUCAAAGACAACUCUCUUACUUGACUAGCAUAGAACUAUCUUUCCUAAAACCAUGCUCCACUGUGUAUGCUGUGAGUGCCGGAAGAUACACCGUCCUUAGCGACUAAGAUCAGUCCUCGGCGUCCUGCAGAAAGCUUUGUAUUCUGAUGAGUUCAUAUAUCCAAGAAUAUGGUUGAUGCAAUCAACUCUUGCACGAAUGUCGCCCUCUGCCUCCUCUCUUCUCUAUCCUUUUCACAAGCUUCAUCUGGCGGAGAUGGCUCGCCGCUGCACAGACAAAAUGCAUCAGUAACAGGGCAUCAACAGGCAUCACCAUGAAAUCACAUAUCCUAAAUGUUAGUUAGCGAAACCAGUACAACUUGCAGCAGAGUCGUGCCAUCAUGACUUUACCCAACAAAGUAGAAGAAGGGCAACGGAAGAGUAAUAAAAGGAAUUAAUAACAACUUGGCGAACUACCCACUUACGACAAAUAUCAGAGCAAAAUGAGGUGAAACAACCGAAGAAGCAUUAAUAACAAGUAGUGAAUUACCGACUUGUGACAAAUAUCAGGGCAAAAUGAAGUGAAACAAUUUAAUACUGCAUCUUGAUGAAACAUGUGGGAAACGUCACGGUUCUACAUUGGAUGACACAAGCACAACUGCGAGAUAAUGGUUGGGUUUCCUUGUUUCCUGCUUCCUAUUUCUCUUCAUCACCCCCGCACAAAACUGCCUAACUGGUGUGAUGGAAUUGUAACUGUCCUUUACUUUUAGUUCGAAAGUGAAGUUGGUUGGAAUUGAAGUAACAUAACAUUUCAAAAAGUAAAGACCCCAUGUAACGUAAAAAGCACUAUCCCAUAAUUCCCAGAUGAUUAUGCAACUUUUCAGACAUGUACACUUAAGGUGUCAACCAUAUAUUUCGAACGGUAGUAAACUCGUCAGAUAAAGUUCCAAAUCAAUACCACACAAAGCUAAUAGUGUUCAUUGGUUAUUAGAAUCAGUGAAAGUAAACGAUUAAACAAGAGGUUACGAGACAAAGAUAGGAAACAAGAGGAAAGAGAUACAAUCAUAUUACGAUAACUUAGACCCUAACAGAACUAAACAAUUUAAAGGAUUUGCAAAAUCAAUAUAUCUUGAAAUUUUUGAAACCGUAACUGAAAGCAGAUUUAGAUGCAAUGUAAGCCUUUCCCAGAUACCAAAUAGUUAUUAGGGUUAGAAAACAUAUAUAAACCACAAAUCUUCUUUUUUGGAAAGCUUAUAAAAAGAAGAUCUUUCGUACUAUUGGAACAUAUGGUAAGGACAUUUAGUUUCUGCUUUAUGAAAUCACCAUAUACCUGGGUUUUGAAGACCCAUUUGCGAUCAUAUCAUCGGUCCAUAAUACAUGGUGAUAUUAAAAUAAAGAUUUCUAAAGUUUGUAAUCCCUAUUGUACCUCACACUCAAACAAUCACUAAUAUGGUAUCGUUAAACUUUCAUUAAACAGCAAAAGGAGUGUACCUUUUUAGGCCGCAAGUGACGGGGGAAUCGAUAUCGGAACAAACAUCUUCGGGGAUACCUGUAGGGUCUGGAAAAGAUAUAUUGCAGAUAAAUGGUGAGAGGAGAGGAUCAGGUGCAGAUUCCUGUGCAUAUGACCUUCCAUUUUUCAGCAGUGCCUUCCCAAGCAUUGCUGAACUACCAGGCCACAAACCGGAUUUUUGAGAUUUUCUCCUGUGCUGAAAGAUAACAGAUGAAUCCUUUAAGGGUCCGACAAUGAUCAACAAAGUUAUUGGCUAAAUUGACUAUUAUGAAUCCCAUGACCCAGUAUAGGUAAUAAUACCUUGAAGGAGCUUGCAUGAUGUACCGUAAAAUGUGCAAUUACAUCUUUCCCCAGAUUCGCAGCGCACAAAGGACAAACCUGCAAUAGUGGGAUUAAAGCAGCCAUCAGGUUCAAAUUCUAACUGAAAUAUCCAUCAAUUUCACACAGCAUCUUUUUUGUCGAAACCUUAAAGGAAUGACUCAAGAAUUCAAUUUUGAUAACAUCUAUCUCCCUUAAAUCGCACUCGACAAAAUAUCAGGUAAAGGAAAGCGCUUACUGCAUUUUUAAAGUUAAAGCAGUGUUCUUCCUCCAAGUGGCUGCAGAGCAAUGGGACUUCAAUAUCCACAUAACAGAAAGGGCAUGGAAAACAAGAUUUUGCAUCGUCAUCUCCUUCAGAAUCUUCCAAAGCCAUAUGAUUAUCUGUUUAACAUAUAUAGAAGAUGGAAGAUCGAUCAAUAGAUAAAUAAAUCGCAGAUGUAUAUAUGUACACGUGUAUAUGCGCACACACGUGGAUUUAACAAGAAGAAAUCAAACGCUUCGAGAAGGUUGAUCUCAUAUUAAAAGAAAGUACUUGUUUCCAUUAAAGCAACAUCUCAAAUGUUCAGCCAUUUAAAUUACGGGAUCAAACACAUGCAGACAAGCACGCAUGCACACACACUCAAACGGACACAAAAAUGACUAUAUUAGAAUGAUAGAACCUAACACGCAGCUAUUACUCCGGCCCCAAGAAAUUACUAUAAGCGAACUCUUUGCCUUGCAUUGGGUGAUCAAGCACGGGAUAUUCAUGAAACAAACACCAUUUGAUUCUUCCCCAAUCGGACAAUAGGCAGAGACUAAGAAAAUAUGAAUGCAUCUUGUUAUCUAUACACUGCAUAAACUGCAAAUGAAUUAACCAGUCUCAACAACCAUCCAAAAGCGGAUUUUUCAUCUUUCUCCAUAUGUUUUUCAAUCGAACCCUCAAAUUUCUCACCUUCACGAAUAACAACACUAGAAGCAUCAAGCUCAGAUUUUCCCUCACCCAAGGCCUUUGACAAAAGGGCUUCUGCUUCCUUCAAUAUCUGCUCUCUCAGUCUCUCCAGAUCUUCCUGAGAACACUCAAGUUCUGAUUUUUCUACAUUUCCCUCUCCGAAAUUUUCGUGCCCAUCAUAUUCUUCACAUUCACUAUAAUUUUCCUCAUUUUCUUCAUCCGCAGUAUAAUUUGUCAUGCUGAUAUAUCCUCUUUAGUCUCUCUUUUGUGGGGUUGAUAAACCCCAAUAUAAUCAAACUUUCUCCACCUAAUUAAUCAAAGCUUCUUAAUUUCCAUGUGGCCUAUGCCAAACCCUAAUUCAAUCAGAAAUUGAGGGGCCCAAAUAAUCACACAAACAGGCAACCCUAAGUCCCUACUGCAAUAUUACAAACAGGGAAAGCUUUUAUGAACAAAUCUAGGAAACUUGAUAAAAUUACCAAUCUAGCAUCAUACGAGAUAUGGAAAAUCUCAGAUUUUCCGGACUUUUUUAUUUUAUUAAAAUGUGAUAUUUUCCCAUAUUUAUAUUUCAGGAUAAAACAUUAUCCGCUUCAAAAUUCAAGCAAAAAUAGAUCAUUUAAACCAGGGUUUAACAAAACAAUUAGUAAAAAACAAUGUGCCAAUUUCUUUCUUAAAUCCAACCAAAGUUUUAACCUUUAAUCCCAACCCAGUUCUAGAAAUCUCUCACACAAGCAUUGCUUUACUCAAACAUAAAAAAUAAAAAAUAAAAAAUAAAAAAUAAAAAAUAAAAAAAACUCAAUCGGUGCAAGUUUUAUUAAAUUUAAGGACCUCAAUUAACGGAUUUUUAGUUCAGGACCAAAUUUAAAAUACGGUGAAAGGAAAAGGACUACUAAAUUUUACUCAAAACAAAAUGUUGAAGCAAAAACAGAAAAUUGAAGUACCAUAGUGAAGGCGAGCAGCAUGAACAGCAGAAAAGCUCUUAGCUGUAUGAACCCUGGAAGCCCACAAGUCAGCGUCCAUGGUGAGCCAACUCUCCGGCGACCCAAGUCAGCUUUUUCCGGCGAGGAACGGUGGAAACGGUCCCCUUGGGAAAUGGGUUGGGAUCAAGAGCUUAAAGUUCGAAGCUUUGAGAGAGAUUUUGGGGUGUGAGUGGUAUGGUGAUGUUUUGCUUACUCACCCUCCUCUCUCAUAUAUUGCUCUGACACUGAGUUUGUUCUGACACACAAAAGAUACUUGAUGAUAGAUGACACGUAGACUUUUUAUUUAUUUAUUACACCAUUGUUUUUAUUUUUUAUUUUUACCACAAUGAUGAAAACCUGUUAAAUUAUUUGUAUAACAAGCACAUUCGAAUUUCAUCAAUAACUAAUUUGAUAUUUAAUUUAAUAAAAUUUAUCGUUUAACAAAAAAAAAUAUUAUACAUGAUUAAUUGCAGUAGCUGCAAUUCUGCUAGUCAAUUGUCAAUCUGUUUGUCAAAGUGCAGAGAAAACCAUGAUUUUAUUCUAUUUUUAUUUAAUUAUUUAAAUAUUAUAUUUGCUUUCAUGCUGCAUUUGACAUGUAUUAAAGCAGGAUUAGUCUAAUUUAAUAAUUAAUGCGAUUGUUUCUUUUUUCUUGGUCAAGUAAUUAAUGUGAUUGUUUAAUGACCACAAGAAAAGAAAAAAGAAAAAAAGGAGUUGGUUUUAUUUUAUAUGACUCGUGUGAAAUAACCUUUCUGCGCAUCACAUGGAAGCUUUUGGCAGGUCUUGAAAGAAGCCAUUGAUGCUGAUGUUGCACAUCUUUUGGGCCCUUUUUCUUAAUUGUGAAUGACGUGAGGUAAUUCGGUGAGAUUUGGAUUCUGGGAGCAAGGCUACAAUACUCUGACGGAUAGUGAUAGUUAUCCGCUUAUUUUUACUUAUCACAUAUUUUUUUUAAUUUUAAUUAUCGGAUGAAAUAAAUUAAAGAAUAUUAUCAAUUAAAAAAUUAACAAAAAUAUAUAAAAAGUAAAAAUAAAUGUCUGAAAUACUACUUAGAGUCCUUAAAUCCGAUUUAAUGGUUGUCUAAUUUCUUUUUACUAACGUUGAAUUGAAUCUAAUGACUCUAAGUAGCAGUACUUAAUAUUUCCACGUAUUAUAGAAUAGAUGUCUUGAAAAUUAUGUUCAUUGUUUAUAAAAUUCAACGUAAUGUUGCUUUAAAUGUGACUCUUAUGAUAUUCAUUUAUUUGGAGUUAGGAAAAUCACGAAUUGAAAUAAUAUUUAUGUUUUAAUAAUUGUACGGAAGGCAAGAUAGGGAACUCUUAGACGAGAUUCGCUUUCAAGAAAUUCAUAUACUAAUUUUGCACCCCAUAAUCUUAAAAAUGUACGUGAAAACAUACUUCACUAAAAUAUAUAUGCGAUAACUUUACUUUCUAAUGCAUCUCCAAUUUUACGUUUAGGAUUUGUCUGAUAACAAAGCGAGCAUGUGCCGCCUUGACAAUUACAAGUUAGGUUAUUUCCAACUUACCUCCAAAUUUGUCGGGGUUUUCGAACUCGUGCCCUAACCAGAAAAUACAAAACACUUAGGUUUUAGGUGAUCAACUUUGAUACACAAAGAUUAAUAAUGCAAAAAAAAGAUGGGGAAACAGAUGGGGGUGACAAGGACAACCUAAUAACCCAAGUGUCCAAGACUCAAAGCAUAGAUAAGCAUGCGAUAACAAGUUGGACAAAAAGUUGCUUUAGUGAGGAGGAUGGUGGUGACUUAGUGAGUGGUUCAUGCAUGAACUUGGACUAGGACUAGGACGGUGCAUUACACCUAGAAAAAGAGCCAAAAAACAAAUGCUCAAAAGAUGGGGUGGGACAACUUCUUCUCUUAAAGGGAUUAGCUCAAUGUUCUAAUUUCUAAAAUAUUCAAACCCACCAAAGGGGAUUUGUAGUUCUCUUUUGUUUUCAAUUUAUAAAAUAAUCAAUAUUUGAGACUAGUUUUCCAUAAGUAUAGUGACAAGUAAUAGUUUGCUUGGCAUGAAAGGAACUUAACAAAAUCCAAAAGGCAUGUGAAAAGGAACUAAGGUCUCGUCUGAUGACUCGACCUGAAUUGAAUUGUCUUAGUUGAAUUAGACUAAUAUAUUAGUCGCUUUUUGGUGAACUUGUAAAUGUUGGAACUGAGCUUAUUAAAUUGGAAAGGAGUCCAAUAUAUUAUGUCUCUCAAGUGUUGUUAGAAGGGUUAGACAUAAUAGGAUUGGCUUGUGCUGAACUCCAAUCUUAAUCCAAUCUUAGUCACCAAGCAAAUACAAUGGAAUCACAAUAUAAUCAGUGGAUAAUUUAGGCUACACAAAAUAACUAAUGUUUGGGAUUUGUUAGUUUUGUUGACUAAGUAAAACAAUAAUCCACUCAAAUAGGAGAUGGAUUAUGAAGACAUUAUUAAUUUACAUAUUAAUAAUGAUAAAUGAGAAAUAUGCUUGGUAUGGUAGACUUGAUCUAACCUAAGAUGCUCCAUCCUAAACCGUAGCAUGACCACUAUAAAUCGGGGAGUCUUAAUGAAACACUCAUGAUACUGUUCACUUUUAACGUUAAUGACAUUUUUACACUAAAAAUUCACUCCUGAUACUAUUCACUUACAACACAUUUUUGUCCUUUUGGUUAAAACUCAAAGUUUUCAAGCCAUUUUCAUAAGUGUUCCUUAUAAAUAAAGGUCUUGCGGAAGGGUUAAAGGCAUCAUAAAAUAGCAGCCUCACACUAGCCAGCCGAAAUUCCUCUUGGGAAUUUAUUCUCCGUCACAAAGUUUUCUUAAAACACUCGGUUCACCAAGGUGGAGGCGGGGACUUAAAGAGGAAACUCUUGGAAGCCACUCUAAGUAGCCAACUCUCCACCCUAUGUCCCAAACCUGUGCAUGAAGGUCUAGCUUGUACAUGUGUCUUCAUUGUUCCUCGCUCGAAGGUUGUAAGAACAAGACGAUCGUUCGACUCAAGGCAUAACUUCUAACUUGAGUAUUCGUAUACAUUUAGGGUGCGUUUGUUGCACCAGACUGUCUCGGACUGGGCUAACUUCAGGGAUUAAGCUAGACUGACUUAGAUUAAACUAAACUGGACUGAUUUAGUAAAGCAUUUGAUGCAUUGUCGGACUAAGAAGCAGGACUAUAAUAUUAUAUUAUUUAAUCUAUAUUUAUUAAUAUUUUAUUUUUAAUUUAAUAUAUCAAUUAAUAUUUUGUAUUACUUUAUCUUUUUCCCUAUUUUUCUAGAACCAUCUUCCUCUCCAAUCUCUUCAUUCAUCUUUGCCCUCUGCUUUGGUUUCUGUUGGUUUGUUUUAGCUUGCCUCGAUGUAGGCUUCUGUGUUCGUUCUGGCAUCUUUGCCCUGGCUUUCAAUCCCAGUUUCUACCAAAAAAAAAUCUCUUCAUUCAUCUUUUUCUCCACCACUCCCUCCCCAUUCUCCUUUUCUCCCAUUUUUGUCCCUCCUUUUCUUUGUACCAGUCUCCUUUCCCUCAAUUUUUUCUCCGGUUUUACUUAUGUACCAGUGUCCCCUCUCCCCUCCCUCCCCUUUUAUUUAUUUUUCUAUUUUCUUCAUAUUUGGUACCUAUAUUUUCUGGACAAAUCAUAGUUGUGCAAGAAAAAUCACUCAAAUUCACUUUACCCGAUGCUAAAGUUUUCAAUCUUGCACCAAUCCUUUGCACAAAAUUUCCCUAACUAUGUUUCCAACCCAACCCUUUGCACCCAAAACUUUUUAAUUUCAAAAUCUCAGGUCACAAUCUCUUAGCAAUGAUGUUGUCGACAGAAGAAUCUGGGUCACCAUGAGCAACAAGGUUGUUGUUGUCCAGCCACCAUGGCUGAUGUCGGUGGUGGAAGAAUCUGGGUCAGUAUCUCUGAUCAAUGAUGCGAAGCAACCCAGCCACCAUGAAUGUUUGAAGCUUCAAUCAAAGAGAGAGGAAAUACAUAAAGAAAGAGAAAAAUGGGGACUGGGUAGGGGCGAAUCAAAGAUGAGGGGGUCUUAGCAGUCCGCUCCUUCUCGAGGGGUCUCACUAAGAGCAACUCCACCCUUGGAGCCAUCCCCCGGCAAUCCACUAUUGAAUCCACCCUAUUGAACAGUAACUGUCUUUAAUGAAUAGUAACUACCAUUAAUGAACAGUAAUUACCUUUUGCAUCUCCACCCUUGGAGCCCUCCCCCUGGCAAUAGGUAAUAAAAUAGUAGUUUUUUUUGUUUGUUUAAAUAAUAUAAAAUAAAAAAAACAGGGAAAUGGGGCUGUAGGGCCUCGGGCUGACACAAAAAACAAUAAACAAAAUGCCUUGGCCCUCGGGCUGCAGGCCUGUCAACUAUCCACCCCCCUUGUGCUCGGGCUCCCACUCUCACUCGGGCCCUCCAUGGUUGGAGAAGAAUCAACAGGCCCUCGGGCCCCUUCCUGCAGCCCGUCCCCCGUCCAAAAACGAAGGCUGGAGUUGCUCUAAGACCACCUAGCGAGUGUUUUGGUCGGAGCGAAUCCUACCUAGUGUCAUUAAACUUUGUCCCUCUUGCAAACAAACACUAGACUACACUAGCUUUUAGUCUAAUCCAAUCCAGUGAGGCCUAGUGAAGCUAAGCAAACACACCCUUAAUACUUACAUAUAUAUCCAACAGGGAUGAACUGAUGUUUUCUUUGAUCAAGUACUAGGAAGGACUUAGCCCAAAGUUUGAGAAAUUGUGAAGAGAUCCAACAUUAGAAUGGGCCACAGGUGCUCAUGGUAGGGGAUAUCACUAGCUUUGACAAAAAAGGAAGCUAGGAAUCUUUUCAUGGAUGUCUAAGACCAUUUUGGACAUAUAGCAGAUACUAUUGUUUUGUGUGGAUUUUAUUUGAUUUGAGGGGCAAGUGGACAAUCAUGAGGGAGAAGUCAUGGCCUUUUGGCAAUUAUAUGUCUGUUAAUUUGUUGACACUAAAGCUUUAAGCUUUCAUAAAGAUACAUUUUUAGUUUUUUUUUUUUUUUUUUAUAUAAUUUACAUGGACCAAUAAAGAUAUGGAUAUGUUCAUUGUCCCUUGAUCUGCUGCCUCAUUUUGUUCAAACUUAAAACAGAAAGAGAGUGAGACUGACAAAAGGCCAAGCUAAAGUCAUUCUAACUAUUUACCUUUUACGAGUAGAGUUGUGAGCAUUACCACCGAUUGAGGGUGAUAAGUAAAAAUACACUCACAAAUAAAUUGUAAUGUAUGGCUUGAAAUUCCCCCAUAUAUUGGUGGGGAGUACAUAGGAAUAGGAAAGUAGUAACAUUUCUGCCAGAUUUCAUGGUAUCAUGAUUCCUCCUCAUUCCUUGCACUUCAAUUAUUCAAUAUUUCCCAUCAUUUAGUUAGUAAGAAAAAAAGAGUAAAGAAAGAUGAAUAUGAUUAUAGUACUCAAGAAAGCUUCAUUAGCAGAUUGAUGGUCAAUAGUCUACCUAUGCUUUUAAAAUUGGGAUGCUAUGCUCAAUCUGUGUAUGGUAAACAAUUUCUACACCAUUUUUUCUCUCCCUUUAUGUACACAUAUGUUUAACAUUUUUCUUUGAUUUUCUUUGGUUUUAUUUGAGGAGCAACUGCUUUGUUGAUUCUUUGUGACCGACAGGUCACCGGUUCGAGUUGUGUAAACAACCUUUUUGCAAAGUAAGGGCAAGACUCCCUCUCCAAUCCUCGCAAAGUGGAAAACCUUGUUGGCUUGUUUCUCGUGUAUAAAAAUGGUCUGAUGAACAGUGGUUCUAACUUCCGGAGGGAACCAGCACCAGCCAUUGUGGUAAAUCAGACAAAUAGGCCCCAAAACCUAGAGGACCAUCACUCAUCAGAUGUCAAACUUGAGUUCCCCUAGCAAUGGAACGUAUGACAUGUCCUUCCCUUUAGGGAUAAUGCUUGCAUCACUGUGUGAAUGCAAAUAUCUCAUCCUUUACAAAUAAGGUAUUUUUACAGUAUACAUUUCAUAUUGGAGCUAUUUAAUUUCUUAAUAUACAUUUGAAGAUUAUGCCUACAAAAAUCAUUCGAAUCAUUUAAAGGCGCUGGUGUGGAAAAUACAUUUUCUUGUAGUGGAAAGCUAUUCAAAACCAGGCAGCACUUCAAAGUUUAUCAGUCGCUUCUGGACUUCUGGGCUGUGCACUCUUCAAUACUAAUAUUACAAACAGAAGUGGAAAUGAGCUUCUUCAAAACUAUUGUUGGGUCUUGCUCCAGUUUUCAUUAGAUUUUUACCAAAACAUAUGAACACCGUACUAUUUUUGGUCGCGGCAGAGAUACAUAUAACUAAAUUACAUGAAUAUAUAUACCAUAUAGGCUAGUAAUUUGAUAUAUUUGAAAUCUAGCUUAAAUCCAACCCUAAGAGAAUGCUAAAGCUAUUAAUUCUUAUUCUACAUACACACACACACACAUAUAUAUAUAUGACUGCAUAGUGCAUAUAUAUAGCAACUGCAAAGACAUAUAUAAUUGAGACUAGAUCUUUUCAUUACACAUACAUACUACAUUAAAUCUUACAAGAGAAUGAAAUAUGAGAGCAUGACAGCAUCAUCAUAUAUAGAAUAUAUUCUGCAUAAACUCAAAACGAAAAAACCUAAAAAACUAGAAAUCAAAAGGAAAAAAGAAAAGAAAGAAAUAAAAUAUGGUGAUUGAUCGGACCAGGAGAGCUUCAUUCCCCCGUUACUGGAUGCUAUAUAACCAUUAUAUCACUCAUGGCUUGGAGAGACCCCAAGGCUCUUUAAAUGACAGUUCCAAGAAACACCCAUCUCUUGAAAUUGAGGGAGAUAUUAACCCUAAUUUGGUUUCAGUACUGCACUGGAGCACCAAAUAUUUCGGAAACAGUUCCAACAUCGUGAUCAUGGAGAGAGAAGAUGUACAGUCGAGUGAGAGUAAGAAAGAAGGCAGCAGAGUUAGAGAAACUCAUAGAAUAUAUUCACAUGGUACACACACAUAUAUAUAUAUAGAUGGAUAUAUAAAUAGCUAUAUCUAGAAUGUUAUAUAUAUAGAGCUUUAUAUCAGGGAGAGAGAGAGAGAGAGGUGAAAUAUUGUGAAGCACGCAUAGUGUGGACUGUGGAAGUGUGGAGACCUAAUCUUAUAUUCCCGCAUGCAGGUUUCUUCCCUUUAAGAACAGUGCUAUAGGGCACGUUUCCACAGGGAAAAGGAACACCCAACAAACAAAAAAGGGGACGACACACUCACACAGUGAUCACUGUGGACUGUGGAGGCAAAUGUGUGUGUUUAAUUUUUAUGGUGGUUACAUUUUUUGUGAAGGCAAAGCAAAGUCGCAAACUUAAAGCAUGAUAUAUUGGUGCCCGAAAGGUGGGGCUAGCUAGCUCCCUAACCUUUGAAAAAGGGUCUUUAUCUAUGUAUAGGUGUUUGAAUUUUUGGCUCUCUCCCCCUUUUAUCUUUUGGUCGGUUCAUAUCGAAAAGGGUUAUAAUUUUCUUUUUGUGUUGCCUUUCAUAUGCUUUUGUUGUUUGAUUUAGGUUUACUUUAUUUUCAACAUCUUAUGAGAUUAAGUUAAAUAUCAGAAAUUUAGCGUAGUUGGUGAAGUUGGUUUGACCAUCAAAACUUCGUUAACACACAUUUAGAAAGACUAAUUAUGUCUUAUCAUGUGCAAAUUGGUUGUUAACAUUCUUCUUCCCCAACCUGCAUUUCAGUAUAAGAAUUAUUGUAUAGUGGGGUUAACUGCAUUGUUAAGUGUAAAUAUAUCAUCAUCUUAUGAUAUUGAUAGAUGUAACGAUUUUACCGUUGAUAAGAUUGUGCCGAACUUGGUGGCAUACGUAAACUUGUAAGUUGUAACUAAGUAGGUCAUUAAAGUGCUUUUUGGGUGAUAAAACCUAAGCCAAAUGAGAUAUGUUGUAAGAAAUCUGUUUGAAAUCUCUUCGAUUCCAGAUUAACAAAAUACAUUCUAAGUUUCUAACAGUCAGCCACCAAUUAAUUCUGAGCCACAAAACCCUUGUUUCCGUUCGUCAGAUCAAAUUGGUUUCUGCAUGAAAGUGUUCACUUUGAUUUUAGCUAUAACAUAUCCAAAAAUCAGAACAUCCAACUCAUGUCCAGCUCCAGGCGUCGAUCUGGGCAGAGGCUGUGCGCGGGUUACUCGGAUCUUAUCGUUUCAGGGUGUGAGUGAAGAAUGAAGAUGCAAAGGAAGACAACAUAGAAUCCAUGAAAAAUUUAGUCAAACCAUGAAGCGGUAAGUUUAGGAUUAAAAUUUACAGAUUUUACUUUCAUAUUUCAUGUCGGAAGUUGAUGAGUAACUAGUUCGUGAUGAGUAAAGGGGUUCAUGCAAUUGAAAGAUUCCAUGUGUCAUGCUAAAUAUUUGGUUGUCUUCACAUUGCAUCUUUGAUAUAAUACACACACACACACACACACAUGAAAAAUUAUAGAUAUUGCUUUAAACAUGUUCGCAUGUAAAAAUUAAAUUAAGAACCAAAAUUUCAUUUUUUUCCUCAAUGAAAUGAGAGAAACUCCGAUUGACUUGAUCCCUUUAUCGAGUAAAUAGGCAAUCUAACUCGAACAGUUGAUGCAACCAAUCUUAAGCUUAGUCAUGUCUUGGGGUUUGUUUUAGGAGUGUGACAUGUGAGGUCAUCUUAAGCAUGUCCUAAGCUAUUUUGGUUAGUAGGACAUCCCAUCCUCUAUGAGUGAGUAGCAAACAAACAAACAGUUGAUAAAAAAGGUGAGUUAUCCUCACGCAUCUUUUUUACUUCGUACACACCAUCUUAAUUUGUAGUCAUCAGAUUGAUUGAAUUAAAGAAUAUCAAAUAAUAGAAAUUAAUUAGAAGUGUGCGAAAAGUAAAAAAAUUGUGUGUGGAUAACACACUAUAUAUGCAUAUACAAGCCUUUCUUAACAGUGAUUAUGCUCCAUUGUUCAUGGACCACUAAUAGUCAGUAUGGUCACUGUAUAUAUUGGUGCUCUGUUAUCCCACUCCGUGAACAAUGAAACGGGAUCCUGUUAAAAAGCUAGUAGUGUGUGUGUGUAUAUAUAUAUAAAUAUGGGAGGUUCAAUAUUUUCUUAUGUGAAACUCCCUUUGUUAGUUAGUGUGUUUAUAUUUGUCUUGACAAUCGCUUGAAACACACCCCUCUAAAGAUAAGAACAACCAUUUUGUAAGUUUGCUAUUGAAAAACGAAUAAAAGGACCACCGUUGUUAUGUUGCGUAAGUUCUCUCCUCGACCCUUUCCGCAGUUCCACCAUCCUCUUUUCUCCUAUAAAACCCCGCCACGUGCAUUCAGAUUCUGCACAACUUCCCUCACGCCCGUUGAUUAAAAAGGGCGAGUUCCCGGUUCACUUUAUAUCCGACACCGACUUGGCGUGAAAGAAAAUCAAGGUGCGGCCCAGGUGAAGAAAUUUUUCAUUGUGACAAAAUAACAAGGGAUACAUCCCGUAUUUUUAUAUAAAUGAUGGAAAAUUUAAUUUUUUAACAUACAUAUCUCACUAUUUGUAUAGUGACACGUGGUAUAUUAUCCCGUGUUCUGGUCACAAUGAAAAAUUUCUCGCCUAGGUGACCAUCCCUACAGCAUUGGCGGGUCCCUGCUUGUGAAGGUCUUAUAUAAAAGUGAGAAAUUUACACAAAUGGAACGCAAACUUUUCAAUUUCUAUGUUUACCUCUGAAACUAGAAAAGGUUACAAUUGACCACUUUUACUUAAUACGUUUUGACAAUAUCUCACUCGCGUCCAAUUCUAUGCCAAAAUUAACUUGUGUCCAAUUCAACCCACUAUUUCGUUACGUAUAAUCAUGCGACAUGUAUGAUUCAAUUGUUUGAAGUCGAUUUUGGUUAAGGAAGAUAACGUAUAUCUGAUUGGUCCUCAAUUCUACGGGAUAAGUGCAAAAUGAAUGUAGAUGGUAUGUUGUCAAAAUAACUGAAUAAGGAAAUUGACCUUCAAAGUUGGUUUGUGCAAGUAACGUCCUCGAAUUUUACAGGAUGAGUGCACAUGAAUGUGAGUGGUAUAUUGUCAAAGUAACUGAAGUCUGGUCAUUGCAUAAGAGCAACUCCAGCGUUGCUGGUUGCUCGGGGGACAGGCGAAGAGAAAGGGCCCGACGGGCGGGGGAUGGGGCUCCAGCGUAUGCGAGCUCGAGGGACAGGCCUGGCAGGGAUUGCCAGCCCAAGAGCCUGAGGUCUGUGUGAUGUAUGGCUGAUGAGCAGCAUCGAUGCAUGCGCUCAGUGUUCUUUGCAUCCUCCUUCCUCCUCGUCCUCCUUCCCCUCCAGCUUUGACAAGGAUAAUAACGGAUCUGGGUCGUUCGAUGGAGAGCACAAAAUCGCGAGGGUUGUAGACGGAGAUCGGAAACCCUUUCUCGACGAUGUUGAGGGCGAGAUUUUGCCCCAUGACGGCGAGGCCUGCCAAGCCUAUGUGUGACAGAGUUGGUGAAGCUUCCAUGGCUGCUGCUGAGAGAGAGAGAGAGAGAGAGAGAGAGAGGACUGGUCAAAAUUAGGGAAAAAUAAUAAUAUUUUAUGGAUUGGUUGAGAAAAAAAUAUUAAUAUUUUAUUACCAAUUGCCAGGGGGAGGGUUCCAAGGGUGAAGAUGCAAAUGACAAUUACUGUUUAUUAAGAGCAGUUACUGUUCACUAGGUGGAUUGAAUAGUGGAUUGAAUAGUGGAUUGCCAUGGGAGAGGGCUCCAAGGGUGGAGUUGCUUUAAAAGUGGAAAAGUAUGUUCCAGUUUUGCAAUUUUCUCAUAAAAGUACCAUGGUUCCUAUUUGGGUUGUGAAAAGCCCAUGGAUUCCCAUUUGGGCCCAUCAACAUAUGACCCAAGAGAAAAUAAUCUACAAGUCCACAUUUGACCCAAUUAUAUUCGGGUUGACCCGAAAAAUGCUUAAACCCUGGAAAUCCCCUGUCAAUGUCUCUGUAGGUGGUCUCAGUGAGAAGUUUGGCAGCCAUGAAUCGAGCAAUGGCGGCGUUUCUCAGUACCCGCCGAUUCGCCAACUCGCUGGCGGCGGCUCAGUUCGACGUCAUAACUCGGCCGCUUUAUUCUCAGGAGACUCAUUCCUCUCACCUCUCUCACUUCCUUUCAAAUCAAUCCCACUGUCAUUCCCAUUUCCUCAACACCCAUCAAAAGCUCUUCUUUUCCUCGACCCCCAACUCGGUCCUGCAACUCGUUCUGGCCAACAAGUGGUCUUCCGAGUUGGAGACCGAGUUAUCCGAGUCGUACCCAUCACUCACCCACGAUGUAGUAAUCUAUGUUUUGAAGAAAUUGGAUAAAGAUCCACGAAGGGCUUGGGAUUUUUUCAAUUGGGUCUGCGAGAAGAACGGAUUUAGGCCGAGUUCUUCGGUGUUUAGCUUAAUCCUUAGGGUUUUAGUGCAUAAGAGUUCGAUGAUGGAGUUUUGGAUUGCUUUGAGGAAGAUGAAAGAGCAAGGGUUUUUCAUUGAUGAGCAAACUUAUGUGGCAAUUAGAGAACAGUUGAAAACGGGGAGGAUGGAUAGUGAUGUCGUGGCUUUCAAGCAUUUUUACGAGAGGAUGAUCGAAGAUAACGCGGCGGAUGAUGUUGUGAAGAGCGUGGUGGAUGUUGUUUCGGGGUCGGAUUGGAGUGAUGGGGUUGAAAAAGAAUUGGGGGAGCUCAAAAUUGUGUUAUCUGAUAAUUUUGUCAUUAGGGUUUUGAGGGAUCUGAGGAAUUACCCGUUGAAAGCGUUGAGGUUUUUCCGUUGGGCUGGUCAGUGUUCUGGUUAUGAACACAAUACAAUUACAUACAAUGCAGUUGCGAGGGUUCUUGCGCGGGCUGAUUCGAUAGGGGAGUUUUGGAGUGUGAUUGAGGGGAUGAAGGGCGCGGGUCAUGAGCUGGAUUUGGACACCUAUAUAAAGAUUACGCGGCAGUUUCAGAAGAGCAGGAUGAUCGAGGACGCGGUGAAGCUGUAUGAGCUCAUGAUGGACGGCCCUUAUAAACCCUCUGCUCAGGAUUGCAGCAUGCUUUUAAGGAGCAUCUCAGGGAGUGAUAAACCGGAUCUGGAUAUGGUGUUUAGAGUUGCAAAGAAGUUCGAGUCUGCAGGGAAUACACUAUCCAAGGCUGUUUACGAUGGGAUUCACAGGUCUUUGACAGGCGCAGGCAGAUUUGAUCAAGCGGAGGAAGUUAUGAAGGCUAUGAGAAAUGCAGGGUACGAGCCGGACAACAUUACAUACAGCCAAUUGGUCUUUGGACUUUGUAAGGCCAAGAGACUUGAAGAAGCCUGCAAUGUGUUGGACGAAAUGGAAGCAGAUGGAUGCGUUCCUGAUAUCAAGACUUGGACCAUUUUGAUUCAAGGGCAUUGCGCCGCUGAUGAAGUUGACACAGCGCUGAUUUGUUUUGCAAAGAUGAUGGAAAAAGGUUGUGAUGCGGAUGCUGAUCUGAUGGACGUCUUGAUAGAGGGGUUCCUUAAGCAGAGGAAGAUAGAUGGUGCAUAUAAACUGCUUGACGAAAUGGUGAAAAAAGCUCGUUUGGUACCAUGGCAAGCCACAUACAAAAAUCUUAUCGAAAAAUUGUUGGAGGUCAGAAAACUCGAAGAAGCAUUCAAACUUCUUCAAUUGAUGAAGAAACAGAACUACCCACCUUACUCAGAACCGUUUGUCCAGUAUAUAUCGAAGUUUGGUUCUGUGGAGGAUGCUGCAGACUUUUUCAAAGCAUUGACUGUUAAGGAACAUCCGUCAUCUGCCGCGUAUGUCCAUGUUUUGAAAGCAUUCUUUAAGGAAGGUAGAUACUCCGAGGCGAAAGAUCUGCUUCAUAAAUGCCCUCAUCAUAUCCGAAAGCAUGGUGAAAUUUGCAAACUUUUUGGUUCUACGGCAGGCAAAGAAGCAGACUACUACAGAAGAUGAAGGCAAGCGUAAGCAGACUACUAACGAAGAUAAGCAGAAGCGGACUACUACUUGUACGUUGAUAGUUUCUUGUAGUAAUAUCAUGGCUCAACCCCAUGAAUUUUGUAACCUCUACCCAUGAAUUAACUACAUGUUUUGCACCAAGAAAUCGAACCAUGCCUGUUUUUGAAUGAUUUGUUCUUUGGUACAGAUACUUGUAUGACAUCUUCAUCACAAAGGGAAGCUACUAAUGCUUUAAAAUGAAUUAUAUUUUGCGCCAUCGUUUUUUGGUACAAAUACAUUGUUCACAAGAUGUGAAAACUAUUCAUUCAGUCAGGUAGCUCAGAACGCUCCCUCCUAGCCGUAUCCGUCAUUGUACUCAAGAACUUGCUAGGGUCACAACCGUAAGGAUUUGCGAGAGCCGCAUGUGCUAGGAACGGAAGCUUUCUUAAUGAUCGCCCGCUCAAUCCCUAAAGAAACCAGAGACAAAAUCAACUAUCAGAUAGACUGAAAGGGGCCUAACUUACAACUUUAGAAGGCAAGGAAUUGAAGAAUCCGUUGCUGACCUCGCAUGCUUCUGCAGUUUCGAACAAUUGUUUACACAGGUGUAGUGGUGUCUGGGCAUCUUGUACCUCAGGCAUAUUCAGUUUCUCUUUCAAGCUAGCAAAGUUAGGAAGCAUGCUUUCACAAUCCUACAAUUUACAAAGUUCAUUACGAAUGGCUUGGAACUUUCCCACAUACUCGGGGGAGAAUUUUAAUAUGUUAAAAACUUUAAUUACAGUAUCAGAACCGAACAAGGUUAGCCAGACAAAUGCACCUCUAGAUGUGAUAAGAUUCCUGUUCGUAUAAGUUCAUGCAAGCAGGAUCUUAGGAUUUCAUAACGCGCUUGCAAAGUUGGGGGACCAACAUAUGCUUUGAUAUCAGCUCGAUCAACAAACGCAAUAUCUGCAACCCAAGAAAUGGUAAAUCCAUACAUACUAGGAUGGUGAAAUUUAAUUUUUUCCCUUCCACAGAGAAAAUAAAGUAUUGGUCUUUCUCUAGCUUGUCAGAACCACAGAGACCUCGUGACUGACAAGAGAGACUGAUAGAAAGAGAACCAAAAAGAGACUAAACUCUUUCAUACAAGGGAAAAGUACAUUAACUCUUGGCAAACUACAGCUUACCUCUCCAAUCUACAGAUGAAAAAUUGCAAGCAAACGUAGAGAAGUUCAUUUUACAUGUUAAGAAAUUAAUUUGUAGCCUUACCAAUAGCAGCAGUUAUGUUCGAUGUUGUCAGAAUUAUAACAUUUGGUGCUGAUUUCAAUUUAUCCAGCUGAGUUAGCAGCGCAUUCACUACCUGGCAUGUCAACGUUUAGCUGUUAAUUGAACUAAAACUGAGCUAUACUGAACUGUAUCGAAAAUGUUAAAUGUAAAUUAUCUGCAUUAUUCAACCAAAAGGCUUAGAAAGUAGUCUGGAAUAGGAUAAAGGAGAAAGUAUGGUACCCGAAUAGAAUCUGAAGGUUCGGAGCCAGAUAAAGCAGCUUUUCUAGCAGCAGCAAGGCUUUCAACUUCAUCUGCAACAUCAGCAUAUAUUCAUGAAUUAUAAUCCAAAUGGAAGAUAUAUUAUCAUAAAAUGAAAACUCACAAUGAAAAUAAUCUCACCAAUCAAAACAAAUACCAGAUUGUUUUCCUCCUCAACCAUCUCCUGAAUUUUUGAGAAAAGCUUCGCAACCUACGAUUGAGAAAUACUUUUAAUGAAAACAGAGAACUGCAUGUGCCAAAUCCAACUCCUGUUUACAAAGAGCAAAAGCAUCUUUUAGGACUUGCAGUAUCAAUGACAUACCAACUUGCCACUCUCAGAGAACCAUUUACUGAAUAAAGAAUGUGCAUUAACUUCAAUCAGCUGGCAUUGCGGGUACCUGCAAAGAAUAAAAUACUGAAUCUGGGAAUCUACACGGACGCACAUCCAUUUUAGUGAUGCAUAUUCAUCUGAACAAGACAAUACAUCAACAAACCUGGAGUUAAAUCGAAUAGAAAGUUUUUGAGCCAGUGCUUUGCACAAAGAAGUUUUACCAGUCCCUGGAGGUCCGUGUAAAAGAACAAUGCUGCAAAGAGAUAAAAACAAUCAUAUAGGUGCCAAAAAGCAAUUCUUCAGCAAUAAAAGAAAUAACAAGCAUAUGUGUAUAACUGUACAUAGAUGAAAUCAACAAACAAUUCCUUACCGAUUCCAUGACACAAGGAAAGGAUUGACACCCUUUUCAGUAAAAAGCAAUGCACUAGCCGCAUAACGCAGCAACCUUUGCUUGAGACCAGAUUCAUAAAUUAGGCUGCAAAAGUAGAUGAGCACUGAGCACGUUACAUUAUCAGUUGAUUUCAAACUACAAAGGAGAAGAAAAUUAGAGAAGUUGCAAACUAACCUUUCCCACAUGCCAUCGAAUUCCUUUGCAGGAAGGAUCCAUUCGUUGAAGGUGGAAGGUUGUCCAUCCCCACUUACAUCCUCACAUGCUCCCUCUUCGCUAAGCUAACGAGCACAUACAAGCAAGAAAUCAACACUUGAAUAGAUAUCGAGUCCCAAAGUAGUCCAGAUGGUACGCCUAUUACCUGGAAAACAUGCACAACAGGCUUCACUUGCCAGAACAAAAGGAUCUCACGGUUCUGCACCCACUCAUCUACAAAAACAAACAGUUCAAGCAUCAGAACCGGCAAAUAUCUUAAGACUGCAUCCUCCUCCUCCUUUUUGUAGUACGUAAAGUAUUACAAAUUUUGUGCUGUCAGAUUUCCGUUUUAUCAGAUGAAAAGUUGCAGUAUUGAUUAUAGCUGACCAUCAAGUUUCAAAAUUUCUUCACUUUGCCUUUAAAAAAAAUAACCCGUGACUAGUUCAAAGAUAAAAAAGAAUACCCGUAUCGCAAAUACAGAUACUUUGCACAUUUUCUGUUAGAAACCGAUCAUCAAGUGGCACCGGCACGGGUCCAUCAGAAUAGCUCAAACUCCUCUUUUCAAGCAUUCUAAGCAUUUGACAAAAGAAGAAGAAGAAAAAGAAACCAAAAGCACAUUAUGUUAAUCCUCAGCACUGAUUGCCCAACUUUUCCAAACCGUUAAGCUAAGCAGGCAUUUCAUCAAACACAUAAGACCCAAUUGAGAAACAACUGAAAAAUCAAAAUUGAUGAUUCUAAUUAACGAAUUUAACAGCACACCUCUCAACGGCAGACUGCACGUCGUUGGCCCGAGCUGUGCUGGAGGGCUUGAGGCUGACUUCAACUGAAACCCACAAUCAAUUUCUCUUAAAGAAAGUAAAUUUACAACUAAAUCAUCAACACAGCCUCAAAUUGGAACAAAUUGGCUCAAAAACUAAGAGCAACAACUAAUUGAAGGCAAAAACGACGCCGUAAGCACCUGAAACCGGGACUUUGUCUUGGAGAAGAAUGGGAGAAGGAGCUGAGUCUAUUGUGACGCUGCCGUUUUGGUCGGCGAUGCCGGCGUCUUGGGGGUUUUGCAUAGAGACCUCCAUGGGACUGGGAGCGCUCAUUUUUUUGGGGUUUAGGGUUUAGGGGGGCUAUGAAGUGGAAAGCAUCAGAUAGCUGAGAGCAGCUUGGAGAAUGGAGGAGAUGAGUGAAACCCUAGACCCCAACAGAAAUCUGGGAAAUUGUUCUUCGAAAUAAGCGGGAAAAUUUGAAGGAUUAUACUUCUGUGAUUUUGAAAUAAGGCACGUUGUUUUAAUUUUCUCAUAUUGCUCUUUACCGUUUUGAAUUGUUUGAAUUUCACUAAAUUAAUGAUAUAGUGAGCAUAAAAUUCGUAACAGGAUUGAUAUAUAAGCCACAUUUACAUCAUAUUCAUCAUUAAAAAACUCAUCACUUCAAUUAGAAAUUCAAAUCUAUCAAAAGUGAAAAUUGAUAAAAUUUUAAGAACUUAGGAGAUAAUAUGAGAAAAUUGAAAUCUCAUGACCUGUUUUAAAUCACUUCAAACUUUGAGGAUGCAAAAUGUAGUUAGUCUAUAUAUUUUUUUCUUCGCUCAACAAAUGUGAAUGAUUGUUCCCUUUAGGAAUAAGUUAUAUGUUUUUUUUUAAAAAAAAGGUAAAAUAUGCUUUUGUUUACAUGCGGAAAAUCUACAAUAAAAUAAAAUGAGUUGAGAUUUGAAGAACAUAUUGUACAUCUUCAUCACAUUUAUCUGCUCCAUAGAUAUACCAAUGCACUUAAAUCACGAGAUAUUGUAGCCACACUCGUUGUGAUAUGAAUGACAUAUUUCGACAAUUAACUUUAAUUUGCUACAUUUUAUCAUCCAAAGAAUACAUUUGUGCUAAAAGAAUCAAAUGUCCUCACUUCCGUAAUAAUUUAUGUAAAAAAAAAAAAAUUAAAUGUGUGUGAAGAAAAUUGAGAUUUCAUCAUAAAAUCAAUUGGUAAUAUAGAAAGUAACUCAAUUACUUAUAAGCACAUGCAAAGAUUUUUUUUUUCUUUUUCCAGGAUGUGAGAUUAAUAUUCUCAACAAUGUGUCACAUGCCCUCAAUUUUAGAGUACUUUUGUCAAGUAAUGUCUCUCUUGAUGUCUAUAACAAAAAUAAGACUUUUAAGUAAGGGUGCGACUCAGAGAGGUUGACGCAGAUUUGCCAGUCACCGCAACCCCAACUUUACCUUCACAAUUUUGAGAUUGGGUUUCAAUCGGGUUAGGUUAGGCUCACUUGGGUUGGGCUAGAGUUGCACAAUUUUACUGAGCUCAAUCAUGUAACAUCUUGUUUGCAAGAUUUUUUCAGAAAUUUGAGCCGAAUAACGCGAAUACUAGUUAAAAUUUGAACUCGAAAUUAUGCCAAAAGUUUGAUUCACGCUAUUCACUUAAAAAGUACUUACUUCUAUGACAACAUCAAUGAGGCAGCCCAGCCCAUUUUUCAUGCCCAUUUCCCGAUCUGUAUGUGUUCACCUCACAAGCUUGUGAAAGACAAAAUUCUUACGCCCACAAAAAAGGAUAGGGUUGCCUAAACUUAUCUCUGUUUGACUACCAAUUUGUGAGGCUCUAAGUUGCUCAAAGAUAACAUGCAUGGCCCAUACAAGACUUUGUUAGAGCAAAAAACAACUCACCAUGAAGCAAAAGUUACAGCUUAAAGAUGACAGAGAACUUGAAAUCCUCAAGGCUGUGGCACAAGCUUGGUACAGCCACUCCGGCCGCUCUCAGCUCAUGUCCGAAUUUGACACCCGCCCGAGAAAUUACAACGGCAAAUCGCCAUCCCGGUUCAAGCUUGAAGCAAUGAGAAAAUCAUCAUCAGCUGGUGAUACAAAAUGGGAUUUCGGGCAGUCACUAUGGGAUGCUUAUGAGAUUGUGGCCGUUUCGAAAAGGUUAGAGACAGGGCUAGUCCUUGAUGAGUUGGAGAGUGUGGCACGAGUCCGUCAGAGGCGUAGGGAGAGCAAGCACAGCCUUAGAAGUUUAUUCAAUAAAAUAUCUUCAAGAAGAUUGGAUGAGGCUAAUGUUCCCCCAGAUAACGAUCCAUAAUUCGUGGCCUUGUUUAUUUUUUGCAGGUUAACAUAUUUUUUUCUCCGAAUAUCUACGAAUUUUGACACUAGGAUUACAUUAAAAAAAAGGAGAAAGGUCUGAAUUAUAUGUGCGUUGUUUCUUUUUUGUGUGAAGAAAUUGUUAUCUUUCAAUCUUCAUUUGCUUAGUUGGAGAUCAAAAUCUGUGUUAAGCUAAAGUAGUACUGCACAUCGUAACUUUUGGCAAGCGAAAGGUGUAUCGCGGUAUGUUACCAACAAUUGGUUUCGAUUGAUUUCUGCAAUGAUAUAUAAAAGUUCUAUGUUGGAGAACCAAACUAAGUUCUGCAGAUGGCGUAAGACAUGAGGUAGAGCAGGAUUUUACUAGAUGUUUUCGCCCGUCUUGCGGAAAAAAAACCAAGGGUUAGCAUUUAGCAUCAGUUCUUUUACUGUCAAUUCUCAAAACCAUCACAAAGUCUUACACGUUUACUUGCUGCAGGAGUAAAUAUCACACACACCGCUGCUGCUGCAGUCUUGUACCAAUAAGUAAAGAUUAAUAACUGAGACAAAAAAAGAAAAAGAAAAACUAAUAACACGAGAAUAACAAUAAGUAAUAAUAACUUGUUUAGUUAGGAAGUGAAAUACAUUAAACAUGACAGUGGCAUCCUAUUAAGAGCUUAAUUAAGGAAGUUCAUCAGAAUGGAUAAUUGCAGGCACUUUAUUUAUACAAGUCAUGGGUUGCUUAAAGUUUGCCCGCCAAUCAUCCUUGUCAAGAACUCUCCGGCACCUUAGCGUGGUUUGAAGGUCCUCCACUUGAAGAGCUCAAACCCCUUGUGCUUCUGCUCGAUGUAGCCAUCGGCCUCAACAUCAAUAGUUUCCUCAGACACGACACAGUUCCCCUUUUUGUCGCACUCCGUGACUGUCUUAGUCACUUCAACCGUCUUGUGAACUUCCGGCAUGGACUGCUGGUUCUGCUGACGCUGUUCGUAGUACUGACCGCCAUAGCUCUCUCUCCCAGGGGCCUGGUUGCCGAAUAGGACUUGGCCAUGAGGGACAUCAGUGAGGACACUAGGGGUUCUUGCCAUCCUAUGCACAUGGGAGUAAUAGUCGUUCCCAUUUUGGUGCCUGGUUGGGUAGUCGUAGCUUCUCCUCAUUUUUAUUUUUUUUUGGCAAUCACAAAUUCACAAGUACCUUGAACUUGAAGCAUUAGGAGGAUGCAAAAGCUUCAAUUUAUAGGAAAAUUGGUUUGGCCUAUAUUCUAAAAUGAUAAGGGUGGCAUCUAGUUCUGCUGAUGUGGUUCUAAAAAUCUCCACCUAUCACCGCUUGGGCCUUGCCUAAGCGCUAGGUGGUUGGUCAUCGUCCUGAUUAAUGCUUAGACAUUUGAAAAUUAAGAAAUGGCGCCUAGACCUGUUGAGGCACCUACCUAGACCACCUAGAGAUCCGCCUAGGUCACGGCUCACUUAGACAGAAAAUAUAUCACUUUCAUUUUGCAUUUUAUUUUUUCAAUAAAUUGUAAGAAACUUGUUGCAUGCUUAAAUAAACACACAUUAUAUCCUUGUUUCCCAUAUUUUCAUUAUGCUCCAAUACUUCAUAAUAUAUAUAUAUAUAUGUCAUUUUAUUUUGUAGUUUAUGAUGAAAUUAUAUAUAUUUUAAGUAUAAGUAGACACUUAUUUACACAAAAUAUAAUAGAUUUACUUAAAUUCGUCUAGUCUGCCUAGGCUCCGUCUAGCCGCCUAGGCACUAGGCUCCAUCUCGCCGCUCGACUAGCGCCUUCUAGAACCUUGCGUAGAAUAGAUGGUUGAGUGGAUUGAAAAUGAAAUAGACCUAAGGAAGACAAAAGGACACAGUGGAAAUUUACAUAUUUGUUGUCCGAGCUACGUUUUGGGUGCAUUGAAGACGGAAUAGAAUGAAGGAAGACAAAAAGACGCAGCGAAAAUUUACAUAUUUAGCCAUUCAAGAUCGUCUAAACUUCCAAAACAGCAUUUUAAAGUUUGUAAUAAAAUUCAAACUUUCGAUUUUCCAUCCAGUUUAUGUCAUUUCAAUGUCCCUAAGACCCCUGAACUUCCUCAUGGCUGAGUUUAAGUCUAUUUAAGUCUUUGGCUUUGUAAUAUACAUUUAAGAAUCAAUCAAAUAAACCUUUCAGUUUUCUUCCAAACUCUGGUGGAUUUUUCUUCUAGGGUUUACGUUUGUAUCUCUUGUUAUGUCGGGCCCCUUUCUUUGAUUUCAAAAAUUAGAACAUCGUCUUAGUCAAACAAGAAGGUGGUAUCUAGUUUUACUAACGAGAGUAAGACUAGUUUAUUAAGCUAUUAUGCCAGCCUAUUUUAUUUAAGUUUGAAUUCCUCUCUCUACAAAUAUCGUCUUGUUAAAUAAAUAAAAUAACAUCUAGUUCUGUAGAUGUGAGUUAACCUAAUUUACCAAAACAAUACGUCGACCUCUUUACAUUCAAGUUUAAAUAUUUUUCUCAUGUAAAUUAGAAUACUGUCUUGUCAAAUCAAAAGGGUGUAGCAUCCCGUUCCCUUGUCUAUAUCAAACUGUUGAUUCAAGCAUACGAAUCUAACAUAGCUGGAAAAAGGAGGUGAGCCAGAAAUAAGCCUCAUUUGGAGAAAUUUUUAGUUGUGACAGAAACACAAGUAAUACAUCAUGUGUUUUUAUAUAAGUGAUGAAAUUUUUUAUUUUUUAAGCUAUUAACUUUUUAACACACAUAUUCCACAAUUUAUAUAACAACAUGUGAUAUACCAUCUCGUAUGAUAGUCAUAUUGAAAAAUCCUUCCUUCAUUUGCAAGGUUUCAUAUCUCAAAAGGCAUAAUGUCAGUUUCCAUCCUGAUAUUAAAUUAUUCUCACACUUUUCCAGAAGCUCCUGUUCCUAUAUCAUCCAACAACUUGCUACUCACUCUAAAGAAAAGGAUGAAAUAUCCACAAAUACCUUUUUAAUUUUCGACCGUCGGAUUGAAUAAAUUGAAAAAGAUCAACGGAUAUAAAUUAUCAAAGAAUGUGUGAGAAGUAAAAUAAGAUGUGUGGAUAGCAUACCCUUAAAGAAAACUAGCCUUCAUGCACGCGUUUACGUGCGUACAUAAUUUAAUUUUUGGAAUUACAAUGUGCUAUAUGCGAAUUUUUGUUGAACGUGUUGUCUAUAUUUAAUCUAAGAACGUAACAUGCAAAUAGCUCGAAGACAAGGAAGUGUUUACAUAAAAGAAAUUGAGACAUUAAAAAAACACCCCAAUAUUGAACAAAAUGGCAUUAACAACCUUUACUAUCUCUCCCGCCAAACCCAGCACUGUAGUAACUAUCACGUAUGCGAUCCAAUAUUUUAGUAGAUAAGAUGUUGAAUUUCGCUGUAAUAGUUUCAAUCAUAUAAUGUUUAUAAAAUCUAUUUUCGUGACAUUUUCGCUUCAUCCUAAGCUUCGUAGUGUUAAUGCAAAAAGAUUUUAGAGAUGUUCUGGCCGACAAAAAUCCAUUCUUCCUAGUUUUAAUUGAUUUUCUGUAUUUCAGCUCAAAAGUUCAACCAAAAUUACUUAUGUGACAAAAUAAAUGGUCAAACCGCUUCCAAAUCACUAUGUGCACGCAGAAGAAUCUACGAAAAAUUAACAGUUACACGUAUACAGUCAGCAUUAAUGCAAGGUUUGUCAUCGUUUUUGUGAAGUUACAGCUUCGAAUUUCCGAGCAAAUGGAAGCUGCUUUCGAUGAAGAAUUAAAGUUCGAUUUCCUUUCCAGCAAGCAUCACAAGGAAACCGUACUCGGAAAGUAUUAGCUACCAGACGUUGAAGAAUAUCAAAUCGGGGUUAAGAUCCUACACAUCGACAAGAUCCAGCGGAACAUUGGAUAGAUACAAAGUGGUGUAUUCGACAAUUGAACUUGAUGAAAUUCGACACUGAUCAGCUUAAACAUUUACCAUGUUAACAAAAUGUACUUAAUCGGACUAGUUUCUAGUGUUUACGAUCUUACCUCCGAACGUUAUUGACCCGAAAGACGGAGGUUGUGGAUCUUCUCUUCAGCUACUCAAUAACACUGGUUAAAGCAGAAGAAAAAACCUUUUGGCUUGUCUUCCAUAUCUCCUAAUUUGGGCGUCUCCCCUGAGCCUUCGCGUGCUGCCAUCAAGGCGCUUGUACCAGGAGACUCUGGUGGCAAGACGGUGUUCUCAGUGAACAUCCGUGAUGGAAUGGCAGGUUCGGGAGGAGAUAUGGUGUAAAGAAAAUCGAGUAGCAUUUGAAUUAUUUGGCUGAAAUUAGGCCGAGCAUUCGGGUCCUCCUGCCAGCAUGAAGUUAGGAUGAUGUUCAACUCCUCAGGGAUGUUCUCAGAACUAGGCCUCACAUUCUGAAAUGUUAAGUAUCCAUUAAAUCAUCAGUAAAACUUAGCAGCACCAUAAGCCAUUUGCAGAAUUAAUGGUUGGGAUCGGAAAUAAUGUAUCGAUGAGGAAGAUAUGUUUACUUUAAAUGCAGCUGCAUAUGCUGCCUGGAGAUUUGACAUGCCUUCGAAAGGCAAUUUGUUGUGUAAGAGUUCCCACAAAACAAUUGCGAAGCUAUAUGCGUCCACUUUGUGGUUGUAAUGCUUUCCCUCUCCUUGCCUUAAUGUAACAGUACUGUACAACUGCCAAAAAAUAGGAAAUAUCAACUCAAUAAAGAGGUAUUUUUAAGCGUCAACGGUUCAUAAGAGUGUGGGGGAAGAAGGGUAGUACCUCCGGAGCCAUCCAACGGUAUGUCCCCGUUUCUGCAGUCAUCAUCUCUGUUAAUGACUCUUCUCUUGCCAACCCAAAAUCCGCUAAUUUAACUGUUUUGUGGUCUGCAGUCAAGAGCAAGUUCUCUGCACCCAAAAGUUAAAAAAAAGAUCAAAUAAGUAAGAAUAUGAGCUAAAAGACAAGUAAUUUUUCAAAACCCAACAAAUAAUUCACCCAUCCACAUCAAUGUAUUGAAUCAUACAAUGCAGAUCCGUUGUUAGAUACGUAAAAACAAGGGAAAUCCACGAGUAGAAGUUUUUAUUAAAAAAUGGAACUGGAGAGGACUAAACCGACUAUAAGCGGUGUAUAACCCUCAGUUUGGAGCCCCUCGGGUUCUGUUUUUGAAUAAAAUCUUCUACUCCUUCUUGAAGCGCCAUCUUACUAAAAUUAGUCUGAAGUCGAAUUUGGGAACUUAAACGUAUGACUAUCUACUCUUUUUAAUAUAACAGUACAGUUCAGAAUAAUAAUUCCAGCCUGACGGUAUGGCAGUGA